rnacentral:lncRNA from 1 species
CAGAGUACUGUUUGAUUGCCCUGCAAAAUUACAUCAUACAAGUAUUGAGUAUCUAUGGUAAAAACAAAAAUUUUCUAGGUAGAUUGUAGGAUGUACUAGCACUGUCUGUCGUGAAUUUGGCAGCUGUAUAAUAUUUAAUACCUUUCUGUAUCUAUGUCCUUGUGUUGGUCCCUUGAUGUCCAUACCAUGACUGCCGGCAUAAUAAAGCUCCGAUAGCUUAACAAAAUUGUAAACCUGAAAAUUAAGGAUUCUUUAGCUAAAAUGAAGCCUGAGAUAUUGUCGGGAAUACUAGAGAAGUAUUCAUUCUUUACAUGAAUGUACCUUGGCUCUGCAUCUUCCGGUAACUAUUGCGGUAGGAAAAUGAUGAGCAAUGUCUCGCACAGCGUCUCUCAUCUGAGAAAAAAAAAAGCAACAAAUUUUAUUAAGUUCAUAGUAUAAUCUUUAGAAACAAAAAAGUUAGUGGAACAAGAAGAAAAUGAUGGAGAACAAACCUCAUUGGAGAUGAAAGCUCUGUCAGGGUCUUCAACAAUUGGAGAAAGUGUGCCAUCAUAGUCAAGAAACAUAACUAUCUGUUUCCCCUUCGAAACUUUUAUGAUUUCUUCAAACAUGCUUAAAGCCGAUGGAUGAUGAAGCUGUUAGAAUACAGACAAUUUCAAGAACAUUAGUUGAUAUUCGAUAUCUACCGAGAAAAGAUUACCAAACAGGCUUCGAAACUAACCAUCCAAGACUUGUUAACUUCUUCACUUUCAGAUGAUCUUCGAGGAGGCGAAGAAGCUCUCAUCGAAUCAACCCAUGCAUUGAUUCUGCCUCCGCCACCAGCAGUUUCGAGCACUUUCAGCGAUGGCUUUGUCCAAAUAAUAGGCGUACCACCACCUGGUGCAGCCAGAGGCUUAGGCACUGCUUGUGCGAAAAGAACUGGUUCACGCAUUGACACCACAAUCUCCAUGCUAAAGCCUGAUUUAGAAUCACAAAUCACCACAUUUUGGUUGGUCAUUUUCCUUUAUAGAAGAUCAACCUGCAUGUUUCGUAGUAGUUUCUAAGACGGAGACUAAAUAAAUAAAAACAUAGACCAAGUCCACAUAAAAGACCACACGUUAAUUAGUAGAAUAUUACUAUGAAGUACCUGGAAAAGACUGGGAAGUUUUUAGUCAAAAGGAAGGGAAAAAAAAAACAGGGCAGAAAACAGAGUUUUCUUGUGUGGACAAUAAUGCAGAAUUGCAGAGAAAGCUCUGAGAUUUGUUAGUGCAAAAACAAAACCAAUGCUAGACAAGGAGUUGUAGAGUGAUAGAGAAGAGAAGAGAAGAGAGAAACAGGCGCACCCACAAAGUCACUAGUUACAAAUUAAGGAGGGGACUGCGUCUAGUCAAUUUAUAAGUAAGUUCAGAGCACUAUGGGACGAAGCAUCCCCACUUUUUCCGGCUCUUCUUGUUGCUUUGCACCAAAAGAUUACUCAGGUGUGAGUCUAAUGCUACAGUACUUUUUUUGGAUUCAUUCAUCCCCGUUAAGUUGCUGUAUACUUUCGUUUUUUCUUCUAAACAGACGACUUAAAAAGUAAGUAGUCUAAUUUAUGAACAGCUAAUCCGAGGGGUUUUUCCAUAUGUGAUCAACGACAAAUAAUUGACCACCUAAUGCCUUCACAAUACGAUUUUUCAAUAUUAUUAAGAAAUUAAUCACUAAUCGUGAAGCUACUAAUGCCAUCAUGGUGUAUUUGAACGUGUGAGCAUGGACUUAAUCACUAGAUGUUAAUUCUACAGACACACGUAUUCAUUCAUUACUUGCUUAUUGACUGUGUUGAAAUUAUUGUUUUGUCUACAACUUACGAUCCUAUUUUCAUUUUCUUAUAUCUUUUCUGGGGGGCUUUUUUUUUUUUUGAUAAUGGGAGUGUUUUCUUCUUUUUGUUUGUUCUUUAAGUGAGGUGAGGAUCUUGGUAAAUAUUCUCUCACUUGGAUGAGAACUGGAAAUCAGCUUGGAAUUGGCAUUAACUCUUACCUGUCCCCACUAAGGAAUUGUUAGGAUGCUAAAGUUGUACAAAAAGAUUGGUGUAUUAGAUUCAUUAGCACUAUUAGGAUUUCAUUAUGAAAACAACAUGAGAUUGUACCAUUAUUUAAAUGUAUGGUGAAAAAUGAUUUAGUCUCUUAUUAGCCAAACCUUAGUAUUUUGGUGAGCAGAGGUGUCUAUUCCUAUUCAUUAGGGACCUUGAAUCGAAUCUAAUCAUUGCAAUUUUACGUGUUAAUAAGAUACAAAUUAUCUAAACGCUGCCAUGUAAUGACAGCCAGAGCUUUUAUUUCUGAUUCAUAUGAAAACGUGCAAAAAAUGGUCUUUUAUUACUAUAGGUUUUUUGGUCUUACCAUAAUGUUGAAUUUGUAUUGGUGGACACGAAAAUAAAACAAUGAUGUAGUAACAUUCUAUGCUUUCUAAGGAUGAUAUUUCAAAGAAAAAAAAACAUCUAGAGAAGAGCAAAAUACCUUUUACUUGUGUGUGUGCACUGUGCAUGUGUCAACUAUGUAUGUGUCUUUGUGGUUGUUCGUGUGCAGAGAGUAGCCAAAUUUCUGCACCAUAAAAAAAAGGGAAAAUGACCGGUUUCAUCCCUUACAUUUCACAAAAAUAUUCUUUUCGUCCCUCACUUUUAAAACGAAGCAAUUUGGUCCCUGACAUUUAAAAAUUAAACCUAUUACAUCCUUGAACCCAAUUAUCAAUCUGAAUCAAACCAUCUAUCAACUUAAUUACAAAUUUUGGGGGGUAUAAUUUGUAGAUCACUUGACUAACUCAACUUGAUAUUCACGUGAAGUUUAAUGAACCCAAAAAUAAAAAAUAAAAAAUUAUAACAUCUAAAAGAAGAAUUAAUCUUUCUUACAAUGUCAUUGUAUACACUGAUGGGUUUAUGUACCUGCCACAUCAUUUCAAUUUAAAUUUAAACGCCACAUUUUGUAUUUGUGAUAUAUAUCUAGACUCGCAAGCGUAUAUACUAACGGUACAUGAAAAGAUUUACAAAAAAAAAAACUCUAUUAUUUCAAGACAAAGAAUGACCUUUUAUGAUCUUAUACUUUUUAUUUUUUUUGGUUCAAUAAAUGUCAUGUGAAUAUGAUGGAGUUGACGGAAUGAUCUAUCAAUUCUAUCUCCGAAAUUUAUCACUGGGUUAUUGUAUGGUUUGAUUUAGAUUGAUAAUUAGAUUCAGGGAUGUAAUAGGUUUAAUUUUUAAAUGUCAGGGACCAAAUUGCUUCGUUUUAAAAGUGAGGGACGAAAGGAAUAUUUUUGUGAAAUGUAAGGGAUGAAACAUGUCAUUUUUCCUAAAAAAAAUAUUGUACUAAGAUUACAAUAGCUUUUAUUUCUUAGUUUUUUUAAAAAAAUUUUUGUUUUAACAGAGAAGAGUUGAGAUUUAAGAAACGGGGAAGGGAAAAGAGAAAUUGAAACCCCAAGACCUUUAUGUCCUUGAUUGUAGAAUUAAACAGAAUAAAAGAAAGAAAAUCAAUGGUAGAAAGAAGAAUAUAUCUUUAGAUGGACUAUAGGGUAACUAUUGAGCAAACUAUAAACUCUGGAAUGUAACAGCCGAAGGUGGUCGAAAGAAAAUUGUUAGUAUUAUUGUUGGCGUAAAAGCUCUGCAGCCAUGAGAAUCUCACUAAUGGAAGUUUGCCGGAAUAAUUGUCGUAAUGAUUGAUACCUAUGAGAAUAUAAGAACAUCUAUGAAAAGAAUCUACUGAGUUCAAAGAAAUACAGAUUAAAAAAAAAAAGGAACAUUAAUUCAUUGACUAAUAUAUGAUUCCUUUAGGAAGUUCCUUGCAUCAGCAGUGUUCUAGAAAUCACUAUGCUAUCUUAAUUAUGUUGCUUUUCAUUCUGUAUCCAUUUUCUUCAAGUAAUUAAUUAUUCAUCUGUGGAUGAAAAUUUUCUUUUCAGGCACGUAAGAAGAAGUAUUUGCACAAAUUGCACUAUGAAAUACAUACAAUUACUGACUUUUAGAUGCACUAAUAAGCUGGACAUUUGAAAAGUUUUCUUAGUAAACAUAAAUUUCAGAUGGCCCUCAUCUUAUUCCACAAAAUGGCUUUAUGUGGUUUGGUAAGAUUAUGAGGUACGUACCAAUGGUGCUUCUCCUGCAUUGCGGUCAUUUCCUUCCAAUCGAAUUUGGUUAAGGCACGUAGCAUCCUGGACCCCUUUAUUGGACUUUUCUGCAACAUAAAGUACUGAUGUUUAUCGUAGUACUUCCCAUUGCCUUGAUCAAACUUUACUCCCCCGGGCAAUUAGGUAGCUUGAUAAAUCACUGGCAUCGGUCUGCCAGCGACCAGGGUACGACUCUUAGAAUUUUCUUCAUUGUUAAAGUUAUGAUUCGAAUCCUAUGAGUUAGAGGGGGAUAGGAGUAUAAAUGAGUCGAGUCGAGUUUUGGUCUAAUCGAAUCAAAUCUGAAUUUAAUUUUAUGAAACUCGAACUCAACCUUAACGAGUUUAAAAUGUAAAACACGAACUCGAUUUAAAAAUAAAUAAAUAAUAAAAUAUAAUUAUUUUAUUUUUAAAAAUAAAUAAAAUAAUAAUUUUUCUUAAUAAAUAAUAAAAUAUUAUGAAUAUAUAUAUAAUUUUAUCAUUAAAAUAAAAAUAAUAAUAUAUAUAAUCAAACCGACUCCCGAGCUAACAAACUGAAUAUCUUUAAAUUCAAAUUUGAGUUCGAAUUAGGUUUGAUCAAUUCGAACUGUACUUGAAUUCAAUGUUGACCGAGUCUGAGAUUCGAGUUGUUUGUGAGCGGUUCACGAGUGAUUCGAUUCGUUUACAACUCUAGAGGGGAGAGGAAAAGGAUGUGAGAAGGGGUGAAUAUCAAUUUUCUUAAAAAAUGGUAGCUUUGAUGAAGUUUACUGCAUACUGAGAAUUUUGUCAAUGUGAAACUUCGGUACUGAAUUACUAAGGGCUAAAACAUAUCCCAAGAAUCUAGGGACCAAUAUAAUCACUAGUGAGAUAUUCGCCAUAUUACAGCCAGAGAUUCGAACGGAUCAAGGGAAUAUAUUGUUUAUCCAUUCAUGUUCAUCAUGUCAAAUUUUUCGUGAAUGCCAAAAGCACAUUUUGUUUUAGAGCGAUCACCUAAUUAUGUCCCAACCUCAUUAAAAUCUUCAGCCAAUUUGGAGCAUAAUAUACAAGAUUUCACAAAACCCUCCAAGCAUAUUGAGUUUGAACAAAAGUCCAAUUAAGUAUCGGGUUCAAGACGAAAAAAAUUCAAUAAAAAAGACUUUGAAUAAUGCUGCCCAAGAACUAAAGAGAAUUUGAAAAAUACAUAAUUAUAUUUCCAUAGCGUAAUUGACCAAGUGGUAAGCCGUCUUUAGCUUUUUCUAAUUUUAGGCGUACAAGAAAAUCUGGAAAGCUUUUACUAUUCUCCCAAUUUACCAAAUUUUUGUCUUUCAUCGCGUCUGUUCUUGAAGGUCCUCGAAUGGCUUUUAUUUCUCUCUCUCUCUUUCUUCUUUUCCAUCAAGCUUUAGUCACCGCCAAAUUGUCUCCGUUGUUGUCACAUGAUGACUUGAACGUUUCGUGUGUUCUUGAACAUUCAAUUCCUAAAAUACCACGGACAAUCUUACAAAUCAGAAGGCCUAUUUUACUCUAUUACCAAAAUAGUAAUUAAAAACUUUUUACUCUGUACUCUACUUCACUGUGCAUCAUAACUAGGCGUACAAACGACUUAAGUCGAGUCGAGUUUUGAUCUAAUCGAAUCGUAUGAAACUCGAACUCGAGUUCGAACUCGAAAUAUAAAGCUCGAUUUUAAACAAAUAUAAAAAUAAUUUUUUUAAAAAAAUAAAUAAAAUAAUAUUUUUGAACUCGAUUUCGAGUUCGAAUUUGACUCGGUCAGUUCGAACUCGGACUCGAGUCGUUCGAUUCGUUUGCAAUCCUAAUCAUUACAUGAAUUAAUGCAUAUUACUUAUUGGAGAUGGGAUCAUUUUAGUCAGCAUUAGUGAGACUUUGUACUUGCUUUUUAAAUGAUUAGUGAAUGGAUUUAUCUCUUGAUCAACAUUACGAGUAUAAAAAUUUACUAGCGUAUUAAGAUGCAUGACGUGCAAUCUCUGUUCACAUUUGAUAUUCUUUUUUUUAUACAUGUGAUGUGACGACAUGCAUCCGGACUUACCCUUCAAGAUUAAUCCUCAGUUGAAUAUGAGAAAACAACCAGAUUUUAAGACAUUUUCUAAGAAAAGCAUCAAUAGCAAUUUAUCUUACCUGCCUUUUUGUCUAGUCAACUCUAUUAUUGUAACACUUGCCUUCUGGCAGAAUAUGAUUGCUCAUUUUAUAUUAAUCUGAAAACAUCUUUUUCGUAGCAAAAAUGGCGAGCAGGGUAACUGCUACCAAACCUAUUGUCAUUAUAAAUCAGAUUGCUUUUCAAGCUAACCGCCCCUUGAAAAUGUGAUGGAAACUACCAGCGAACUCUUGGCUAAAUCAGCUGCUGCAGGAAAACCAGCAGCAUCGUGUUUCGACGCAUUAAUUUGGCAUCAAACGUCAAUGUCUUGAUUGCCUGUGUCUGAUUUAAACCGCUUUAUUUCUAUUCGUUUCUUUCUCGUCCUCUCUGCCACUUCUGGCUUUUGCAUUUGCAUCGAGUCAGCAACUGAGUUUUAUUUAUUUACUUUUUGCACGUUCAUAUUUUGAAUUAUAAUGCCUUCCAUAAUAGUAGUACACUAUCUUUUGGCCAUAGCAUUAUUGUGAAGAUAAGAAGUAGGACUUUAAAAAGUAGGAAAAGGGAAGGGGGAAUUUUAAUUUAGGAAUUCUAAUUUUUGAGAUUUCAACCUUAACUGUUAGAUUAACACCUCUUCGGCUUUGAAACAAAACCAUUUUCUCCACACGUAAGAAAAGUCAGGAUUAGAAGACUUUGAAAAACAAAUUUUGAAAAAAAAAAAAAAAAAAAACUUUCGGGUGUAAUGAACUUUUCUGAGAAAGUACAUUGAUUGAUACAAAAACAUUUUUCAUUGACUGGAUUCAAAGUUUUACAUGGGUUCAUUUUUGGUAUAAUACAACAGUUGUAUAUUGGACAUCUACAGAAGGAAGUUUGCCAGAAACUUCCUUGGGGAACAGCAGUCAAUAUAUAUGUUUUUUCUAUGAAGCAUGCUGUCAAUGAUUUUGCAUUAAAACUGGAAUCCAUUUAGCUUUUGCUGUGGUCAAAAUGUUCUCUUAGGAAUUAAGAAAGAUGUAUUGGGAAUAUUUGGAUGACUUUUCUGCUAGUUCACAUCGGUGUUUAAGAAACUAAACUCCCCUUUUGCAGGACAGCCUUUGGCAUAUUAAUUCAACGACGUCCACAAAAUCUACCGACCAUGCCGCUUAAUUCAAAGUGAGAGAGCCUCACAGAAUUUACAUAUGCCAAACUCAACGGACAACCUUUAUCAACCACUUCUUGUUUUCAAAAUUAGAAUCCAAAAGCAUCCAUUUUGCCUUUAAAGCGUUUUUGCCUCUUAAAAAAAAUAAAAGCAUAUUUCCAAAAGCAAUUGAAAAGAGGAAAAAAAAAGUUUUUGAUCACAAUCAAGUGCUAAACUCAGGUGUUUAGAAUGGUUUUAAAGCAAGCUUGAAUCAUUUUGAGACCCCUAAUCAGAUUAUAAUUUCUGUGUUCUUACUUUUUGAAGUAUCCACACCUAAAACUCAAUAAAGCUGUGUUAGUAUAAUUUUCUAGUUACAUUUUUAAGUUUUUAAGGAGUAUAUCUUUCAAAGCAAGAGAUUCUUUCGUUUGUACAUGUUUUACGUGUUCGAAUGAGUAUAAAUCACAUGUUCGAAUCGUUUUCUAAUGUGAAAGUUUCUUUUGCACUCGACGGGUUCUCUUUGGUUUCCUUCCAUGCAUGCACAGUCAAAACAAGGGACCCUAAAAGAUGCUUUAUGAAGAAUUACAAAUUGUGAUCAAUCUCUAACGUUUACUCAAUAACUUCUAAACUAAUGCUUUAGGAGUUGUCAUCAAGUGGUGAAUUGUCAAAAAGUAAGUUAGGCAGAUGGAAGGAUACUAAUUUAAUUGAAGGCGUGAAUCUUUGAUUUGGUUUACAAGAAAUGGAAUAAUCGUUGUGGUCAAGGGAAGAUGCUUAAGAGUCUUCUAUUAUCAGAUUCAAUGUUCCAAUUUUAUGCCUAAUAAUUAAGAGUGACAAGGGUGUGGAGAGGGUGUAAAGACAAAAAAAAAAAAUGGAAUAAUCAGGGACAAUUAAGGGUGAGAGGGGGUGAAGAGGAGUGGGAGGGUAAAAAAAAAAAAGAGGUUUAUUGUUAAGCCUAGUUGUGUAGGUUUAGAGUGGCUAAGAAAGCUAACAUAUAUUCACAUAAAGCACCUUUGAAAAAUGACACAAUGUAGUCAUGAGGAAAAUUAUUCCUAAUUAAAGUGAUUGAUUAAUUAAUUAAUUGAGUAGAAAAUACUUAUAUGCAUCUUAGGGAAUAAUUAGUAGGAACCAAAACAAAACUCUACAACUAGUAGGAGUUGUGUUUAGUUUUUUGUUUGUUUGUUUUCAUGGAUCACAGAGUUCCUUAGAACUAUAUGUUAGAUUUGGAAUUUUUUUGGAUUUUCCUGUCAAAUCUCAGCAUCAGUUUUGAAUUUAAACCAGUUGAAUAGUAGAUCUGUAGGAAUAGAUAUGCAUACAUAUUUAUACAGCAACUCAUGCAAUUGGUCAGAUUUAAUGAUUUGUGAUUCUUAGUGUUAUAUUGUAUAUUUUGUAAUUCUAUUAAAUUUAAUGAUUUUUCAAAUUAGAUAUAUCGGUGACAUGUUCUAUAUAUUUGCUGCCAUUAAUACAGUUUUAUUUGUCAAGCAAAUCAUACUAGACGAUUUUCAACUAGUUUAUUAAUAAUAUUGACUUCUAUUUUAUCAAAAAGAAAAUGGUGGUUAACUAGUUUAAAGCUAUCAUUAGAAGUGUCUCUUCAUCCUUUUCAAAUAAUUGAUGCCAUUAAAUUGUGAGGCAUGUUAAAAACUUCAUAUAUAUGUGUGUGUAUUUAUUUGAAAUAUUAUUUAGAAUAAUUAUUGCAGCACAUUUUGUGAUGUGAUGUAUGUGAGAUAAAAAAUAGUUAGAAAAAUUAAAAAAUAUGUUUGUAAUGCAAGCAAAUAAUUCUUAUCCAAAUAAUGCCCAUCCAAAUAAUUCUUAUAUAAAAAACCAGAACUUUUAGCACAAUGUUAAAUCAGUGUGAACUUUUACUCAUGGGCCUGUCACUCUUGUAAAAACAAUUUCAGUGUUCAUAUUGGACCAGAUAUGGAUAUCAGCCUCAAGAACCAGCUUUCGAUUCUGAAAAGCAAGAAAUGGUACAGAUGUCGCCAUUCUUAACUCCGGUCCCCCUUCUUCCCAAACAAAGAAGGUAAAAAGAGUUAAAGAGGAAAGCAUGAAAGGACAGAAAAUUUAGUCCAAUAAUUCUGAUUCGAGAAAUAAAUAAGUAUUUCCUUUUUAUCUUUUUCAUCUCUUCUUCAAUUGUUUUCAUCAGAAAAAUCUUACCAACUAUGAUCUUCUGUAGAUACGUGAUUUUGAAAUAUUACAUGCAUUCUGAUAUUGCCCAAAUUACGAACAAAAUGCAUAAUGUGCAACGCAACAGUGUGUAUAGCUAAGCACUGACAAGAGCAGCAUGUGUAGGACAAGAAGUAAUCCAUGAGAAUUGGGAACCCGAAUGAAGACGCAUCUUUUUUUAUGAAGAAAAAAGAUGAAAACACAUAUAUUUGACUCUUAAAAAAAAAAAAAAAAAAGAAUGAAGACACAACUUAGAAUCUACCUUGGCCUAGCACUGGAAUAUUUCGUUUUUACAUUAAUUUGGGUUAAAAGCUAGGAUAAAAAAAAAUUAUCAUUGAACAUAUAUAUAUUCAUUUCUUUUCCUUUGACAUUUUCUAAAGCAUGAGGGGCUUCAAUAUAUUGCUUGGCGAAUUUGAUCAGGUGGAGCUAACGAAUUGAAAUUUGAGUUACUGGCUUACCAACUUCACCAACUUUAUAGAAUCACCAACCUUACUUAAUCGUCAUGAAUUUUGGAAGUAACUUUCUUAGCUCAUGUUCGUGGGCACUCUAGUGAAAGGCAAAUCACUAAAAAGAUCUUUGCAUUGUUGUUCCUCCUCCCACCUCCUCUACAUAAAUUAUAAAUUAGUUCAAGUCAAUUAAGAAAGUUUUAGUCUAGUGAUUAAAAUUAAAACUCCAGAAUUUAGACAUUUUGGAUUUUAAUACCCUUUUUCUCUAUCUCUCCACUUCUUAAAUUCAACCGCUCUCUUGUUAGUGAAAAAAAAAAAGUAAGUCAAGCGAAACAUGAAUAAUACGGUACAUCCUUUUCUAAUUAAUAUUUCUUUGAGCUCAAAUGCAUUGAUAAGAAAGUUAGGCAACGACGCAGGCUCUGUCUUGUUUAUAUAUUCAUGACUCAUUUUUGCUCCAAAACCAUAAUCUUGCUCUUAAAACCUAUUUUCCGUCUUUAAUACCAUAAAAUUGAGUACUACUGCUUGCCCUUGCGUACCUUGUGUAUAACGCAUUUGCUAAACAUUGAGCCUAGAUUCUUGAUUGGCUGAUCAUUUCCAUUGGGCAAACGGGGCAAGUGCCCACUUAAUUAGUCAACAAACUAUUAAAUAGAUUUGCUUAGGGCUUCUAAUCCUUCUUAAUUAAUGGCCACUAAUCAGAGCCAAGUUUCUUCCAAGUCGGCAUGUAAAGGUCUUAAGGUUGCGUUCAAAGCUUAAACUUCAAACCAACUGAAAAAACUGCCACACUAACCGUAACCACGGGUCUUUCUGUUAAACAGGGGCCCGGUUUGGAAGAGAAAAAACGCAGCUGCUGGUGGACCCAAAUAGCUUUUGACGUGACAUGAUUGUUGGCCUGGCAAUGAUUCAUCUGGACCCACUAGGUAUGGCCCACACAGGCCCAAAAUGCUCUGCCCACUUAAGCCACCACCCCACUUACAACUUCACUUCUGCCAACUCUCCCCCCACCUUCCCACAAAUCUGAAUAUCCUUCCAUGGGCCUCCUCUCCUUUGAAGAUUUUUAUUCAUUUUAAUAUUUCUUAGGGUUGGGUGGGAGAAUUUGUUGAGUUAGAUCAAAAGUGGAUUGCAUCUUCUUAUGAGUUUUUUUUUUUUUUUUUUUUUGGGGGGGGGGGGGGGUAAACCAUCUCUUCAAGUGAAUGACCUUAGUUAGGCGGUUCACAACACAUGCAAUGGUGCAUUUUUGCAAUGCAAGUUUCCCCAAAUUUGGUUAGAAAGAGAGGGCAUAAUUUGCAAUGUAUUUCAAAUAAUUGUAAUUAGCUUUUAUCAUGAUUGUGAUGUUUGCAAUAAUUUAAUUGCCUGGCAACUGCUCAUUGUAGGAAACCCUUACCCCAUGGAAUGAUUUUUCUCUUCAAAGGAGUCUGUCUCAAUCUAACCUCAUAAAAUGUCUUGUUUCUUGCUUUGUCUUUUCAUAUCAAUUAAAGUGGUGCCCCUUUAUGGUCAAAUUUGUAAUCAUAACAAGAAGAAAACAGCAGUAACACAAAUUUAUCAACUUUUAGAAACUCCCCCCCAACCCCCACAAAAUCUCCACACCCUAACAUCUCACUCAAUAAUGAGUGUUUAAUGAGCCUAAAGUUUUUUGUUUUUUUUUUUGGUGGAAUUUUAUAAUUAAUGAAUAUAUUGGAGAGCGCAGGUUCAAGCUUUAUUCAACAUCAAGUAUCUUAUCGCACACGGAACCCUUUUGAAAUCAUCAUCACAUCAAACAUCGACUGAAGAAAACUUUUAACUAUAUUAGGAUUUAAGACAGCCCUUUUGAACAAAAUUAUUGGCGUGAUAUCAAACAGAUGUAUCCUUUAUAGAAAGUGGAAUAAUCAUAGCUUUGAAGGUUAUUCUAUCUACUUGUUAUAUAGUAAACGAUGAUAUUAACAUCUCUCUUGGAUUCUAACUAGCUAGAUGCAAAGUGCACCACCUACAAUGGUCCAAAAGGAAACGUGCUGCUGCGAAUUGACACUUGUUGUUGUGUCUUCGUCUGUAAAAACCAUGGACUAUACUAACUUCCCAAGCUACAAAGAAAUUAUUAUGGUAUCCCAGCCUGAAAGGUAGCUCAAUAAUUAAGGAUAGAAAGUAAAAUUCCUAGGCCUUCAAUUCCAUCCCUUCUUCCGUCGGAUAUCAGCCAAGCUUUUUGAAAGUGAAAGAUCUGACGGAAUCCUAAUGCAUGCCCAUUUCCAUAGCCAUUCUCCAAGAUAUGUAUACUUGCUCACGGAAUCCAUUUGUAAGGUCUCUUUCUCACGGAUUUUUUGCCUUUAAUGAUAUAGUAAGAGCAAAGGGCGAAUUGGCCCUUUGGCUCCGUGAAGUUGCACAAUUCCUCGGCUCCAUCAACGUGCCCCUUUGUCCAAAACAUGAUGAAGACAAAUCGAACGGUGUGAAGAAUUCUUGCAAACUUGUUGGUGUGCCUUUGUAAAAUGUAAAUACGCUUUCUUGAAUUCUAUUGCACGUACUCGACUCUAUAGUUUCUUUAAAAAUAAAAAGAAAAGUGGAUCUACAUUUCAUAUAUAUAUAUAUAUAUAUAAUCUCUACUCUAUGUAUAAAAUCAUGUGAAGCUUCAUUAUCAGAGAAACAUAGGAACAUCACUACUAGAAAAGACCUUAUUGAAAUGUGCACGACUUAAACUUCUUGCCCUUGGCCGAAAGGAAGCUACAAAAACAAAAAGAAGUCAAUACACAAGCCAAGUUGACAACUACUGUGUGCUUGAACAGCUUGAAUAUUCCUCCAAAUCGAAGAUUAUGUAGUGAGGUGACUGGCUUGAGAAAGUUAGCAAAGACAUUUUAUGAUAUCUCGUGCUUAUAUGCUUUGCUUGAUUUGAUUGCAUCCUAGCACAGAAUGACAUGGAGAAGUUGAAAUGUGAUUCGUAUUUGCAUAAGCGCGAAUAUACAGCAAAUUCCACGUGCUUAUUAGUUGCUCAGAAAAGAAAAAAAAGGCACUUAUCACUCAAAGAACACACUAGCAAUUAUACGAAAAGAUGCCAUUUUGCUAGCACUUUGAUUAUAUUCAUGCGCCGUUGCCCCCACGCCCUUAAGGUCCAUUCGUCUGGCCUUGGCCCUACGAACUGGGGACAUUGUUUAUAUGGUUUGCUAUUCUAGUCAAUGGAUGAUAUGUAUAAAGAAUUACUACUAAGAUCAUGGUUCGGUAUCGGCCGAGUAGUAAUCGGAACGAAGGGGACCGGCACGAUACUGAUCCCCGAAUCACGGAUAUUAUCAUAUCGGGGACGACUCACUCUGACUUAGUUGAUAUUAAUCGAUUUGAAUCCGUGAAGCAUGAUAUUGGCCGAUAUAUCCGAGUCGACUCCGAGUCGACUCGGAUAUUUUUUUAAAUUGUACAUUUUUUGAUAUUUUCUAAUUUUAGUAAUUUUUUCAAAAUUUUUGGAAACUUUUAUGUGCUAUAAUAUGCGUAUCAUUCGAUAUUCAACCGAUAUGCCGUAAUGGAUGUGGAACAAUCGAGACCGCGACGUGACUACGACCCGCGAUGGCUAACCAUGACUAGGAUUUCCACAUUAGUUGGCUUCCAAGAACAGCCAGGCAAAGUUGAAAACGUAUAUGAUACAAAUACAAACAAAUUAAAUUGAAAAUGCUUUUACUCUUGGCCCUUGAAUCAUACUAAGAUUUUGUAGUCCCUAGACAAUAGCUAGCUAGAUAGCUAGCAUUUCUUGUUAAUGGCUAGCAUUUCUUUUGUUAAUGGCAGCUACAUCAAUGAGGAAUCAAAUGAAAUUGUUGAAGGAGCGAUGCUUCAAUUUAUAUAUGAAGGGCACUGAUUCCCCUUUGAUUAGCAAUUCUUAAGAUAUACGUGGAUUAAGAUUUUGUUCUUUUGGAAGCUUAUUUAGUGCUCCACAAUCUGGAUUCUUGAGUGUGAGUUGACCAAUCGAGCAGCUACUGCAACCGCAACCUUGCAGUCUCAAAAGAGAGGGACUAAAACCCCACUUGAGAAGUGAACUUAUAAUCUUUUCUUGCAAUUUGUACAAUAAAUGCAUCGAGUACUAAAAUAUUCACGAUCCAUAUCUUGUUAAAGAAGAAAGGGAACAUUCUUUUUAUCCUAGAAUGAUCUUUCUGGAGAUAAGAGGAUCAUGCAUGAACUUACAGAAAAAGUGAAAUAAAUUAAGAUAUCAUCAUAUCCAGAUGUAGCAUGCUGGCAAAUGAGAGGUAACAUCUUAGCGGCACCCACUACUUGUAACGAUGACUCUGCAUCUCACAUUUAGCUGACUCCACUUUUUUCGUUGAUUGCAAAUUCACUAAAUUUAAGAUAUUGUUCCUUUCGAACUUUCAUAAAUAACAUCAUUGUCUUGUUUGAAGUCUUUUCAAACGGUUAAGAAAACAAAAACCAAUGUCGGGAAAGUGCUCCGUUCGUCGUGUGAAAUUUGAUCCAAUCAUGUAUGAGUUUGUUUGAAGAUCAAAUAUCAAAGACCAAAUAUCAAAGAACAGCACUAUUUUUGUAGAUUGCCAUGACUUUUCCAUCGUAGAUGUAGAAUAUCGUUAAUGAGGACCCUAAGGGACCUUUUGCUGUCAAAUGCUCGAGUUUGAUUAAAGUAAUAACGCUUGGCUGCAAUACCAUGCCUUUAUCAUCAAAGAAAUCAAGCCAACAUCCAUCCUCAGAUGCUUGAGUUGACUUGGCUCAGGAUAUUCAUGACUGAUCUCCACGAGCGUGCAGGAGGACAAGGCCAGAUUAAGCAUCUAUUAGAAUUUAGAACCAGGCAGGAAAGGAAUAGAAAACCAACUUCUAGUGGUAUUGUAAACCAACCUCCAGGAAAUUAGUUUCCAACGUACGAUUCUCCAGAUGACAGAUAUAGCAGGAAAGCCGACAGGACAACCGGCUAUGGUUGGAAGUUUGUCUCCGGUGCAAGGAUAAGGCGUUCUUCUUCCGAAACUAAGAUGAUCUUCGACUACGAAUGCUAACUGAUUCAUCACUGACAUAGUUCUAUCUUCAAGUGUCGCAACAUGGAGAUAGACUGGAGACUAGAAGAAGAUUGACCAACUUCCCUGCCCCCUUCUUAACAAGUUCAAUUCUAGACUUUGAAUUCUUCUUUGAAUGCAUCUCAAAACAAAGCCUGAACCCGACCGGGGUCAAGCCUUGGUGCAACUGCAUGAUACAAUUCACUAAAAUUGACAUACUUGUGGCUUUCACUCUCAAGAAGCUUUCCGAGCUAUUUUGUCUAAUGGUUCCGUGCAACAUUAAGACCAGCCUUGAAGAACAUUUCCUUGAGUUCAAUGCUCAUCCCUGGACUCCCUAAGGAUCCUGUGUGAGCUUUUGCUCUUAAAAUUGGUACUUUCGACUUAGCCUUUUGUUCCAAAAACAUGGUUCAUCUGUUUUAUCUAAUAGGAGUAAGGAUAAAAAUGGGUUUCAAAAUUCAAAACCAUAUAUUAUUAUUACACGCACAAUACUUGUGAAAAAGCACAUCAACAAACAACAGAAUUAAGCACUUGAUAAGCAUUUUCUCUGAAACAUCUGUUUAGUUCAGUGCUUGGCUAUAAGCCAGGAUCAACGUUGCCUCAAUCUUGAUAGAGGCAUAUAUACUGAAAAAUUGAAAGGAACACUUAAAAGGAAGAGACACCAGACAACUGCAAUUCUAACCAGUGUUGUAAGAACUCAGGUAAAAAAAUGGUAUAAAUAAAAUGAAACUUAAAACCAACGUUAAACUUACCGCAUACAAUAACUCAAAAUUCUACAAUAAUUUACCUAGACAACCAGCACCCUAUAUCCCAAAGAAAGCCAAACGUAAACACAAUAUUGCUUCAGAGCCAAGGCUUAGACAGCAGUUGCAUUUUGAACGCUCAACCACUGCUUGAACUACAUCUCCAGUUAUAGGAUCACCAACUCUACAUGCUUGGGUACCAGUUGUUUUACCUCUUCCAGAGCAGAAGUUAUGGUGGCCUUGCGGACAUGAGUAUGGAGAUUAUAUUUAAGAUGACCAGAUAAUUGAGGAUCAAGAACAAUUUUUUGAGGGCAGCAGCAUUCUCAACAAAACACAUGAGAAGUUCAACAUCACUAGUGCGACCACAAUAUCGACGCAACUCAAUCACUUCAAGGAAUAUGAGGGCGCAUUUUGCACCCUUUACCGUCUCUCUGUUUUUCUUUGAAGGUGUUGCCCAGCUAACUGUUAAGGAGAUACAUUGGCAAUUAAACAAGGAUCACAAGGGGUAAGAGAACCGGUAAGAGAACACAAAAUGCAAGACUAACAAAAGCCACAAACAUCGAAGAACAAACUCUGAAGACCAAACAGGACAACUAACAAAAGUCUGUAACAGUAAUAUUCAAGCACAUGGUGCUGAGGAGAAACAUAAUUGCAGCAUGCAGGGGAAAAGGAAGGGGCCAGUACACCUCAACGACCCAGGCACAAAAAUCAACUAUGUAGCAUUAAGUUUCACAUGAACAUAAAAGAAAUGCUAUCUUCUAUAGCACAAAUCAGAAUCAUGUUAAUCUAGAAGAACCAUGACAUCAGCAGAAAAGUACCCAAACAUAGAAUGAUAAAAGCAUUCAUCCAAGUGAUAGACCCAUUCGUUAAAAAUGCUUUCUAAGUUCCUCUACAUUCCAUUUCUGGCUAUCCCACCAAACAUACGUCGUUCUAGUCUCGAGGGAUUACAAGAAGGCAGCAACUGACCAACAGAAUUCGAGCAGCAGUUUCAGUGCAUUAAGUAGCAGAGAGGCUGUGUUGAAUCCAACAGAAUUUUGUCCCUUCACCAGACCAUCAAGUACAAAAAGAUUGGGCCAAUGGGAAAACUCUAAGGAUAUUUCUUUAGUUGAAUGAGCAGAGCUUAUAUUUCUUAAAAUUCUGAUUUCGAUAUUUAAAGCAGUUCCAGCACAAUAAAUGGCAACUAAAUGGUUUGGACUACUUGAGACUAUUCUUUUACUAUUUAUACAUCAUGCUUACGGACGAGAACAAAUAAAAUUGGUACAUUAAAAGGGAGGUUCAAGUAAAUCUUUCAGCUCUUUCUGGAAGCAGGCACCCACAGACUAUACAUUGUCAAACAGUCUAACAGGAGCGACGGGAUAGAUAUGAAUUUAUCUGUCCUGAAGAUCCUAAUAAGAUUCCCAAUCAUCUCUCCUCUAUGACGUCAGCAGCGAUAUGGAACCAAAGUGCUUCUUAUUGGAUGCUUAGCUGAGUUGAUUCUAGCACUCUCCAGCUGAAAGCUAUUUCAUGAAUUGCUUUUGACUGGUGAUAGCGUUUCUUUAGCAACAAAAAAGGAGAAAAACAGACAAAUUUUUCUAGAAAUAGCAGUAUAGGUGGUUUUAGAAUAUUAAAGUAAAGGUAGGCCAAAAGCAUGAACAAUACUUUAUGGUGCAUCUCUGUUCUCUCAGGAUAAAACUGCUCUAAUCACCAUUUACUUUCACUUGCAAAAGCAGUUCCAGAUUCUGUAGUGUCUUAUGUAUGUUAUUUUCCUCUGAUAAGAAAAUGCAAUAAGUUAGCAUGGUGAUGCCCUUUCACAAUAUUAGCAUUCCAGGAAAAUCUUCCUGUAAUUACAGGAAGACUGCUCUCUCAUUAGAAACUAAGACAUUCUGGACAGACUAUUACUAUCCGACCAAUGUCUCAAGUUAUUUAUGAACUGCAGUAAGUCCUUCAUUCACUAGCAAUACUACCUUACUCAGAAUCACACUACUCAGUUUCCCAUAAAUCCUACCCUAUGACUAAACACUUCCCAAUCUUUUAUUUCAUAUACUUCAGUGAGCCUAUAAUCCGAAUGCAUUGCAACCCAAAUACACAUAUUCACUAAUUCCUCAGUAUGCCCUUCCCAGUUUGACAUUUCUUUCUUCAGUGGACAUGCUUCAUUAGCAUUUUUCUCCUCAAAAGAGUAGAGAUUUCACAUUCUCAUCUUUCUCCUCAACAGAGUACGAUUUCUUGCAUUUACAUCCCUAUGCUCAUCUAUCUUUCCCCAAAUGCCCCAUCAUCACUCACUCAGAGUCAUCAAAGUGAAGGAACAGAUGACCUUUACAAAAGCUCAUAAAUUUCUUGUUUAUAGGAUUACGAUAAAUGAUGGAAGUACAACUUACGAAAAAAAAUCUCUUUAACGAAAAUCUGGCAUAGGCUCAACUAGCAUGGCUAUGGACCCUGAGGAUAUAAACCAGCCACAUCGCUCUGCUAUUUAAUACCAAACAAAUAAAAUUUUAAAAAGCUCAAAAUCAGAGGCUGCUCUCUCGUCCCCUAAUUGGCUCUUGAGUGCUUGCUCCAAUACAGUACAAACGACACUAUCCUUUCAGCAGGAAAGCACACAGACCAGAUGUUUUGCUCUGAAGCGAUGCAAAUUCUCUGAUUUUAAACCCUUCCAAGAGGGAAUGUCAGAUUGCACAGUUGUUUGCCAGACAAAAAGGAUUGAAAUGGGGUAUAUACUUCAAAUAUGUUCUCCUCAGAAGAAAUCAGACUCUUUGCACUCAAGCGAUCUCAUCGGGAGCUCCUCAACUUAAGCAAGAUCUCAAUUGGAAAGGUAAUCAGCAACCAGUGCCAGGCAAUUUUUUUUCUUUUUUUGGGUGGUUCAACCCUUGAGUUGUUGAAAAAAGGGAAACGAAAUUUAGUUGUUAUUGUUUCUUCAAAGUCUGCCGAUAACCUUCCUAUUCUUAUGUUGAUUUAUCACACCUGCUACUUGGGGGUCAAUGUGCGGAACCUAAGAAAAAAGUACUGAACAAAAGCCAUGCAAAAAUUGAGGGACAUUCAGAGCUGGGUUCAGAUUUUAAACUCAAUGGUGGCAAGAGAUUUCUUUUAGCUUCACUCCAUUUUUGUGAUUUACUCCAUCUGGGCAUCUGAUGAGCUUCUCAAUGUGGGUUUAUUUCUCUCUUUCACAAACUUCUCUAGCUUUGUUUCUCUCUGACAAACAGAGCAGCAGCAAGAAUCUAAAUUUUGUAAGGCUUUAUGGCAUUAAAAUUUUAAGGAUGCAACAUGGCAAAUUUCUAUCAACAUGGUUCACAGCCUUGCUGGAGGGCUGAGCCUAUGCGAGUAUUUUCUGAAACUUUGGGUUGCAUCCAGGAGUAUUUUCUGAAACAAUUUUAAGACAGCAGCAUUUCAAAUAAAAUUACACAGGAUGAUAAAUUAAGAAAGUUUUGAGUAUUCUACAAGACACCGUGAUCAACUAGAAUUAGGCAAAGAAUAUUAUUCCAUUCCGUACAAAUCACAACAUUAUUAACGAUGUAUCUUAACAACAGAUCGUACCCACUGCUGACCGUCAUUCAAAGUAAAAAGUGAUCCAAAAGCAACUCUUAUGUGAAGUUCAUAGAGAACCCUUGCAAUUUCAUCAGCAUCUUAAGUUCAUUUUUUAUGAAAUGGGAAAAACCUACAGACAAUGGCAAUGGCAACAAGAAUGGCAACAAGAAUAAUGAGAAAAGAAGCAUGUGAAUGCCAAAAGGGCAAAAAAAUUUGUUGCUGCAUAAGCUUUAAAGGUAGUGGUAACCUUAUCAUAUUUGAAAACAAAUAAAAGGUCAACAGUGAUUGAUUGUGCAGUAACAGGUUAGAAAUCCUUCAAAGAUGAAUCAAGAAGUUGCUCAUGACAAUGUGUAGCACUUCCAGAUUGGCAAUGCUAAAGGAAAUUAUGAGAGUCAAUCAAAUGAGAAAGUGGCAUAGGCAGAGCCUUGCCCAGAGAUUGACAAUGCAGUAAACAAGGGAAAUUACCUACAUAUUUUCAGACUAACAUAUAAUCUGAUAUAAUGAAUCAAAUCCAUUUACCAAGUCAGAUUGACCAACCAAUCAAGCAUGAAUAAGAAGCGUUACCACUGCAGAUAUUAAUCUAUGUGGGAAAAACAUGUAAAUGAGGAAAGCAGAAUAACAGAACUGGAAACAUCCUUCUAACCAAUCCAAAUCAAGAACAUUUGUACUCAUUGAAACAGCAAAAAAAAAAGGCAUAUAUUUGCUCUUAGGGACUUUUCUCUAUCAAAGGAGUGAAUACAAAGCUUGUAUCUCCAUGUUUCAAGGACAAACACAUACCUGCAAUACAAAUUUGCGCAAGAUUGGACAUUCCUUUAUGAUGGAAGUCACUCCCAUUAGAUUAUAAUCAUCCCAAGCACCAGUGUACAUCGCCAACUCCUUUAGUUGACUUAGUUGAGGAAGGUCACGAAGAUUCACAAUAUUCUAAGAUAGUAAAAUCGUCAAGCAAGCAGUUGUCAGCCCGUGUGCAAAAUACUAAAAGAAUUACAUUCUGAAAGUGUAUAAACUAACCUGAGCCACAUAAUCUUUCAAUUCAAGACUCCAGCUGAAAGGAAAAGAAGGAAAACUGAGGGAACACAUGGCUAAAAAACGCGAGGAGCUGCACGAACAAAUACCUCGACAAGCAUAGGAACAUUCAUAAGUACAAGGUGUUCAACAUUGCAUAUCCCAAGGGAGACAAGGUUACAGUCACAAAUCUUAAUUGAUUUAACAUUGUGGCACGAGUUUAUGUCCAAGUGCUUCAACACAAGGGACGAACCGGAGACUAGAAGAUUGACUAACUUUCCUGAGCCAACCACAACCAACCGUUCAAGAAAACGACAAUUAUGCAGGAAAUUCUCAAUAGCUUCACCAGUAACAUUUACAUAUUUCAAACACAAUGCUCUGAGGGACCCAAACUCAAUCAAUUUAGACAAGCCAUUAUCUAUAUUAAGUAAGCGAUCUGGAAAGUUAUAACACUGCGAAGGAUGACGGAAAUGGUUACGACUUCUAGACAAGCCCACCUCUAGCCUCUUUACGGUCCUUCUAAAUGCAUAUUCAAGCCAUUUGUCAAUCUCACUCUGGGAUGAUAUGCCCAAGUCAAAGCACAGCCUAAAUUCAUCCAGGGUCAAGCCUUGGUGCAAUUGCAUAACACGGUUCACCCAAUUGACAUAUCUACCACUUUCUCUCCCAAGCAGCUUUUUUGGAUUCCUCUCAAUGCGGUCUAAAGAUGCUGAAGCAUCAAAAUCUAGCCUUGGAGUGUAUUUCCAUAAGUUUAUCCAUCGACUCGAAAGGACACUUGUUUGAGCUGCUUCUUUUAAUGUUAGCAAGGAUAGAAUAAAAACAAGAAUCUCAUCAGGCAAUUGACUGAUCCGAUCGUCAUGCAUCACCUGACUAAGAUGAUGCUGCGGAGGGUGGCGCCUAUUUGAACACUGCACAUGAAAGGGGAAAGGAAAAGGGAAUCAGCAAGCAGAAGCAAAAUAAAUCUCGAAUAAACUACAAUACGGUAAAGCUGAAUGAAAAUAAGUUUGUAAAUUUUCAGUAUCUGGAACCUAGAAUCUCAAAGAACCUCUUAGUGAAAUCACUAAGAUGAAAGCUUUAAAAUCAAAAGACACCUAAAGAACCAUUAAAAAGUCGCCUGAACGGGAAAAAGUUUGAAGCUUUACAGUGCGGAGGUAAGAAUUUACCUUCUUUAAUUGCCAACCAGUUGAAACCUUUGCGCGUUUCCCCAUUAGGUUUCAAACUUUAAGCUUUCCUUCACUCUUGCUUGCUCACUCACUCCCCAACUGAUCACAAACCCCCGAGUAAGAGAGAUGUAUACAAGGGCAGGCGAAAAAAACGAGAACACCAGUUGAGCCAAUUAGGAGAUUUUCAUAAACAAGUCCCAAACAUAUAAUGGAGAAACUUGUACUCAAUGGAAACCAUUGAAACAAGAAGGGAUGAGGUGGGGGGAGGGAGAAGCGGUAGAGGUGUCUUCUGCUUCUUCUCUUUAACGAUAAUCUACGAAAUCCACAAAACAGACAUGCAAGAAACGGGAGAUGGAUGGAGUCUAAAUGCUCAUACCAGCGAUUGAGGCUGCUUCAACUGUGUGAAAGUGAGGAAAACGGCGCUCACUAGGACAUAAACAUCGACAUAAGGAUUCUUAUAUUCAUUGUCUUCUUCCAUGCAAACUUCUCGUCUACAACUGUUGAGAUUCCUUUUGUAUUUUUGGAAUGGUGGUCGCUUUGAUCUACACUGAACUCUCUCCGCCGCUGCCACCGUUCACUUGAAUCCUCCAUAUUUUCUUCUUCUCUCAUAAAACCAAUAGCUAGUUUGGGAGGAAGGAAAUGAAAAGAAAAAAAAAAACAGGCUUUGAAAGUGUUUGGGAGCAAAAACUGUGAAGGGAAAAAAGAGAUUUGAAAGGAUUUCACCUUCCCCCUGUAAAGGAAAACUUUCCGUAAAAAGGGAAGGAAAGUGUGGAAGUUUUAAGUAAAUUUUUAAAUAUGACAAAAUUAUCCUUAAAAUUCUGAUACGAAAAAUUUUAAUCUCCAAGGAGUCCCUCACUACAAAAUUUUCGGCAAAACACCUUCUUUCACUCUAUAGAAAGGACAUAUUUGUGAAGUUACUUGGUUAAAUAUCUUUUCUUUUCAUUUAUAUUCAACUCCCAAAUAAAAAAAAACUAUUUACCUUCUUUUCUUUCUUAAAACUCCCAAACAACUGAGAUAGAAACUUGGAUAUUUUCCCAUCCUUUCUUUUCUUUUCUAACUUACUAUUUCUCUUCUUUUAUUUUCUAUUCUAAACUCCCAAACUAGCUGCAAAUCUCAGAGUUUGUAAAUUUCACAAGUUUUGAAUAAAACCAAAUAAAUACAUUAUAUUAUAAGACAAGUCUAAUCAGAUACUAAAAUAAAAUGAAAAAAUUUAAAGUUAGAGAUUGCUUAUUAGGAGUUUUUAAUGAAAGUAGAAACAAACACCCUAGUUUGGGGAAAAAAACUAGAGUUUGGGGAUGGAUGUUUGCUAUCCCAUCUUAAUUUGUGUUAGUACUACUCUUUAAGAAAGAGCAAAUGGGUAAAAAUAUUGGUGAAAGACAGAAGAAAAUUUACAAGAUGAAAUUCUGAUCAAACCAAUUAAAGCCAAUGAAGAGGCAAAAUAUUAAUAGGUAAUUCAUAAUAAUAUUUUAUAUGAAGAAUUGUAUUUGCAUUAGGCAUGUCAAUGGAUCGGAUCUUAUCCAAAUUCAAUCCAAACCCAGUGUAUUUGGAUAGGGUUUGGACUUAAUUUCUCAAAUCUAGAUCCUACCCUGAUUCAGACCUUGUAAAAUAGUUAUGAGUCUGGUUUAGGUCUGAUUUUUUAUGAUCUAUAUCCAAAUUCAAACAUAUACCAGAUUUUAUCCGAACUCAUGUAUAUAUAAUUAAAUUAUAUAUAUUAAUAAAUUUAGAAAAUACUCUAAUAUUCUAUAGUUAUGAGAUCAAAUAUAGUAAGAAUUCAUAAUUAUUUUCUUUUUUUAAUCUAAUUCUAAUUUUUAUUGUAAUUAGUACAAACUUUUUCAGCAAAGGAAAAAUAAAUAAAUAGUGACCGUCAAAUAGUGCCACCACUCUCAAAACUCAGUUUACACAUGGCACAAUGUGCUUGGUUUGAACUCUAGCACGCAAAUCAACCCUGUUAGUAAAUGGUGACCAUCAGAUCUCAAAAAUCGAAAGAGUAAAAUCUUUAAAAUCAACUCAAAACGUAGUUACACAUGGCACAAUUUGGUUAGUUUGAUUUAUAGGAUGCGGAUUGAGCUCUGUUAGUAAAUAUUGACCAUUAGAUUCUAAAAUUCAAAGGAUAAAGAUGUGAGAAAUCAGUAGUAGAGCUCUUUCUUCAACCCCUAUAAAUUACGCCUCCCACCAUGCAAAAUUUAAAAACCAAAAAAGAAUAUGCUCUUUCCCAUCCUCUCUUUUCUUCCCUUUGUUUCCCCUCUCUAUUCUUCUCUUUCUUUCUCUCUCGUCUUCUCUUUCUUUCCUUUGUUUCUUAGAUCCUAUUUGAUAAUUCAAUUCAACACUUAAAUUUAAUGAAUUCAAAUUUUAAUAUAUUCAGAUCGUCUGAUAACCAAAUAUUGAAUAUCUAAAUUAAUUAAGUGACACUGAAUUCUCUAGACAAAACUUCCUCCCAAAAUCAGUGAUAAAUUAUUCGCUUAUUACUUAAUGUGAUAUGCUCUCCAAUAUAUUAGAUUUAAUACUUGAUAAUUCAAUAAUUUAAUGGAUUCAGAUUUCAGAUUUUAGAUUUUAGAUUUUAAUUUUAUCAAACAUACCCUUAGACUGAUGGCUAGUAGAAGCAAGGGACUUUCAAGACCCAUCAGGGAGCUUCGACAUUUCAGGAAAUUCAUGGAUUAUCUGCAAUCCAACCAAGAUGGCAUUCUUCAAUCGUGGCAGGAGGAAUUUGCCAUGUCUUGCACAGCAACUCCAAAAGGCAACCAAUAUGAUUGGAGUACACGUAAGCAUUUACAGCUUAAGAUUGGAGUACAUGUAACUUCAUUUUUGCAUAUCCCCAAGGAUUAUUGCAUCUGACCAAUUUUUUCUAUUAUUUUAUCAAGUAGACUAGGGAAAACAGAUGCUCCGAUUUAUGGGCUUUUAACUUACCAAAAUUGCCCUUCAAAUUUUGUUCAGGGGGCUACUCCCCAAUUAAUGCCAAUUUUGGGUGCAUACAAGUACCCAUAAGUUGUUGAGGGGCUUGAAUUUUAUUUUUCCUAGAAAUACAAUGGGACCCUCAUAAUCAACUGCUGCUACUUGGUACUCACUCAUUUAAUAGCUACAUCUUGCCCGGCCCCACAAUGAUGUGUUGUCCUACUUUCCUUUGCUCUUUCCAGCAUGAGUCAGCUUUCCACAGUAGAUGAAACCAAUACUUAAUGUUAGGGGAUGUGGCUCUUUCGAUUCUUGAGAUCUGACGGUCACUAUAUACUAACAGGGAUCGAUCCGCGUGCUAGAGCUCAAACCAAGGACAUUAUGCCAAGUGUAAACUACAAUUCUUAAAAAUUAACUCAAAAUAACAGUUAAAUGUGGAACAAUUUGGUUCAUUUGAACAUUAGCAUGUGGAUCGAGCUCUGUUAGUAAAUACUGACCGUCAGAUUCUUAAUAUUCAAGGGUCAAGAUAUGAGAAAUAAGUAGUGGAGCUCUCUCUUCAACUCUCUAAUAAACUACACCUUUCACCAGCCUCUUACCACGCAAAAUUGAAAAAACCAAAAAAGAAUAUUAUCUGUCUUGCCUUUUCUCUUUUUCUCUCUCUACCUCUAUCAUUUUCUCUUCUCUUAAGAAGAUGGCUAAAAGACGCAAGCGACUUACUCGGCCUAUCAGGGAGCUUCAACAUUUCAGGAAAUUCGUGGAUUAUUUGGAAUCCAACUAGGAUGGCGUUCUUGAACAGCUACAGGAGGAAUUUGCAAUGGCUCGUGCAGAAGCUCUCAAAGCACGAUUAUCUGAGAGCUUCAUUGUCGAUUUUGCUUCCUCGUCCUUCGAUGGAGGUUGCUACUGAAAUGGACUUAACCACAGUUUCUCAACUCAAGAGAUGGUUCGGGUAUGAAAGAGGAAUUCAGAUUUUGCGUCGAAUAAGCAACAGGGCAAAGAGAACCAUUCUGGAUAUGGCUAGGGCACAAGAGAUUAUCGUGAUACCGUGAUGAAUAUAUGAAGGAGGUCUGGAUUUUGUUUGGUUAGAGUUAGGGUUAUUACCGGGAAUGUGGUGUGGUUGAAUUUGUAAAUGGGUACGGAUAUAAGGAUUGAUUCUAUAAGUGGGUAGGUUUUCAGUAUAUUGCAGUGAAAAAAAAAUAGGCUAUGAUGUUUUUGUUUACAUAUAUUCAUGGAUUAUCUGUAAUCCAACCAAGAUGACAUUCUUCAAUCGUGGCAGGAGGAAUUUGCCAUGUCUCGCGCAGCAACUCUGAAAGGCAACUAACAUGAUUAUCUGAGAGCCACACUCUUGUUUUGGCUUUCUCGUACUUCAAUGGAGGUUGCUAUUGAAAUGAAAUUAAAUACAUGUCGUGUGUUUGGAUUGCACCUUAUUUACACACACUGAUUUGUUUGUAUCAUCAACACAUUUUUUAAUUAUUUUUUAUUUCAUAUACAUCAGAUCAGAAAAGUACUAUAGUAUUUUUUUUAAAAAAAAUAUUCCAAAUAAUCUUUCAUCCAAAAAUAGUGAGUUUACACUCUUGAGUUUCUCAACUCGAGUUGGUUUAGGUAGAAAGAAGGCAUUCAAAUUUUGCGUCAAAUCAGUGGCACGUUAAGGAGAACAAUUGAGGAUUUGGCUAUAGCGCGGGAGAUUACCGUGAUGAACUGAUGAACAUAUGAAGAAGAUUUUGGAUUUUGGUUGGUUAGGUGGUUAUUAUCUAGUUAUUGUAUAGGGUUAAGGUUGUUAUUACUGAUAAUGUACUGUGGGCUAUAAGGUUAUAAAUGGGUAGAUUUUCAAGUCGGUUAAUAUGUUACGUAUAUUCCAGCGAAAAAAAAAGAAGCAAAGGCUAUGACGUUUUUCUUCUUGUAUAGGGUUGUUAUUAUGACAAUGGAGAGCGGCCAUAAGGGUUGAACUUGUAAAUGGGUAGGUUUUCAAGCAUGUUAAUAUAUUACGUAUAUUCCAGCGAAAAAAAAAAAACAAUGGCUAUGACAUUUACUGCAUUGUCAUAUUGUUCUUUUCUCCGAGCUUAGUUGGUUCCUUUUCUAUUUUUAUUGCUCUCUUUUUAUCUGAAACAUUUAGAUGAUUGUAUGUAUUUAGUUUAGGAUUCUUUUAUUUUACAUAUUCAGUUUAGGAUUCUUUUAUUGCUUUAUUGUACGUAUUCAGUUUAUGAUUCUUUUAUUACUUUGGUUGGAUCAAUUUCUGACGUUUACUGCAUAAGUCACAAACUAAUGGUUUAAGAGUUGCCAUCAAAGUGGUGAAUUGCCAAAAAGUAAAGUUAGGUAGAUGGAAGGUUACCAAGACAGCAUUCAGUGAAUCUCGAAAAACAACACAAUAUCCCAAAUAAAAAAUGCCAAAAUGCUUUUACAGUUUCUGAGGUUUUAAAUCUACAAACUAUGGUGAAGUUGUAUAGGAAGAAAAAAAAAGAUAGGCAAAGGAAUGAGUAGGAAUGUCAGAAUGAAAAGAGAAGGAGGAAAGGGAAGGUGAGCUAGGAGGUGACAGACAGCUAGAGCCUCUUAGGGCAGAGAGAGGGAGAAAGAGUCUGGUGGAGCAUAUUCUUUUUACAAUGUUUGGUAUUUUUUCUCUUAGUACCCAUAGGGAUCAUUGGAGCUCACAUUGAAUACACUGUGAUGUAGUGGGUACAAAAAUAUAUAUGAAUUGUGGAUUUGAAAUCAAUUGGUUGAUUGCAUUUGAUGUUAACUAAAGAGAAUAUUUGUAUUUUACUAUUUUCAUCUCAUUCCCAAUCUAGGGAGCAAAACCAAUUUGCCCUGACAUUUAUAUUAAAGUAGUUUGAAAGAUUGUAUCUAGAAAUAUCUGUGAUUUUUUAGUACAUUUUUUCCAUAGUUAAUCUAAUAUGUAGAUACUGUUUGAUAUUUCUAUUGUCCAACUAGGCAUGAAAUCUCUAGUCAAAUUGUUGAAUUUGAUAGUUAUUACUUUCAUUGGUCCCUCAUAUCUACUAUUGUCUAUAAGUUUCUUUGUUAAUGACAAUUAAAAAGUAUAUUAGCCAAAUGAAAAGCCAAACUUUACUGGAAUAAACAAGUUCUUUCUAAAACUAUCUCCUAGGAAUUCAUGGUGUGCUAAAUUGAGGCCUUGGAUUAAAUAGUUUACUCUAAGGUUAUCUUAUGGUCUCUUAGCCAAAGUUUGAUAGGAACUAAGCCAACAGCAUCAGAUGAACUGGAAGUUGUUUAUUAGACCAUUUAUUCAUACUUUUAGGAAAUUGAUUUAAUUUCUUUUAGUCAAAAUCCUUAUUUUGUCUGAAAAGUAACUAGUUUUCUAAUUGAUUUUAGUUAUUAGAAGUAGUUAUUAUUUUGUUUAAGAUUUAAAAGUUAUUUCCUAUUCUGUAUAAGUCUAAAAAUUAGUAUUUAUUUUUUUAUUAUUAUUUAAUUUUUUGGCCAAAUAAUGUUCUCUAUAAAUAAGUAGAUUGACAUAUUACAAAAAUAUACAAGAAAAGGAGUAAGAGAGUUCUUAAUAGGUGAGAGAGUUAUAGAAAAGUUAGACUUGAGAAUCAAGUUGUAAUAUUGUAUUAUUUUUUCUCUCAUAAUGAGAACAAUUUUUUUCUCUGUGAACGUAGGUUUGGCGAUUAAGUCGAACCACGUUAAUUUUUAUGUAUUACUGAUCAUUCGUGUUAAUUAUUAUUUUCUAUUAAAUUAUUAAUUUUUUCUUUUUCAUCUCAAAUAAUUGGCCUGAUACCCUAAUAAAUGGUAUCAAAGCUCCGUCGGAGUUUAGAUUAAUUAUUUGAGAUUGAAUGAUUAGUGAUAUACCAUGGCAUUUAAAACUAUACAGUUUCUGAUUCAACCAUUUAAUAGAAUUAUAAGUUUCACUUUUUGACAAAAGAAGAGUGAAAGAUGUUCUAAUUCAACAAAAUUUGAUAAAAGUGUUGAAUGGUAAGAACAAGAAAUCAAAAAAUAUGAAGGAUGAUGAGUUUGAAAGAUUGGACGCAAAGUAUGUGAGCACGAUUCAACUCUAUAUUGAGGACAACAUCGUAAACAAUGUAAUAAAUGAGGAAGAUUAUGUAGCAGGCCUCUGAAAAAAAUUAGAAAAGAGUUAUCUGGCUACAAAUUUAUUCAAUAAAUUGCAUCUGAAGCGAUAACUUUAUACAUUAAAGAUGAAAAAGGGUGGCAACCUCAUGAAUCAUAUGAAUACGUUCAAUAAAAUUUUAGAUCAACUUCAAAAAGUUGGCGUAGACAUUGAGGAAGAAGAUAAGACCAUUUUACUUCUUAUUUCAAUCUCUGAUUCUUACGAAAGUAUCGUAACGACCCUGUUGUAUGAGAAAGAUAUUUUAAAGUUCGAAAAUGUGCAAUCAUCUUUGUUGAAUUAUGAAAAAUAAAAGAAGACAAAUCGGAAUGUGACAUAAGAAGCUGCGUUAAUCGCUCGAGGAGAGAAUAAAAGAGAAAAAAAAGUUGAUAAUGAAUUUAAGGCAAGUGAUUCAAAAGUCAAGAGAAAAGGUAGAGUUCAGUGUUUUGGUUGUCAUGAGUUUGGUCAUAUCAAAAGAUAUUGCCCUCAUCGAAAAAAAAAUGUUGAGAAAGAGUAUGAUGAUAUUGCUGAAUAUAUAUCGGGUGUAGAUAUUCUCACAAUCUUCAAAGGUAAUAAUAUCUCUUCUCAUGAUAUUUGAAUUUUAGAUUUUGAAUAUAUUUCACAUGUUUACUCAAAGUUAAACUAUUUUGAUACUCUCCACCGAAAAAAGAUAAUUUUGUAUCCUUAGGUGAUGGAUCUAUUAUGAAGUCAAAGGUGUUGGAGUGGUGAAAAUCAAAUUGUUGAAUAGAAAGAUUCGUUCUUUAAGUGGUGUGACAUAUAUUCCAAAGUUAUGAAAGAAUCUAAUCUAUUUGAACCAAUUAGAUUUCGAGGGCUACCACUUUUCAGCUGCAGAUGAAAUUUUGAAAAUCAUACAUGACACAGCGGUCUUAUUGAUAGGGAGGAAAUAUGAUAAUUUGUACCAUUUGAAUAUCUUAAUAGGUUGGGAGCGUAGCGUAAGGAAGGAGAUCCAAAAAUACUCCUGAAUUACAAAUGGUGAUGAGAGAAAAAAUCCUGCUAUGGGAGAAGGUGAAUUGAAACCCUUCUCGUGAGUCAAUUAGAUGUUGGAAUCAGUUAACUACAUACGUUCAUUUGCAAAUUGAAUUAAUUGAAAAUAAGACUGUCUUAAUUCAGGUGUGUAGUUAGGCAUCAAAGUAUUUUGUGAUAAAAAGGCAAAUAGAGUUUUUGGAUAGUUUGCUAUGUUUGCUAAAAGAAAUAUUCGUCAUAGUGGAGAUUUGUUAGAAAAUUGACUUAAUUUUUUUUAGUCAAGAUCCUUAUUUUGUGUGAAAAAUAACUAGUUUCGAAUUGAUUUUAGUUACUUGAAAUAGUAGUUAAAAAAUUUUAUUUUGUUUAGGAUUUAGAAAUUACUUUUUAUUAUGUAUAAGUCUAGAAAUUAGUAUUGAUUUCUUAUUGUUAUUUGAUUUUUUGAUCAAAUAAUAUUCUUUAUAAAUAGGUAAAUUAACAUACUACAAAAAGACAAAUAAGAAAAAGAGUGAGAGAGUUCCUAGUAGGUAAGAGAAUUAUACAAGAGUUGGAUUUGAGAAUCAAGUUGUAAUCUUAUAGUUUUUCCUCAUAGUAAGAAUAAUUUUUCUCUCUAUGGACGUAGACUUGGUGAUCAAGUUGAACCAUGUUAAUUUUUAUGCGUUGCUUAUCGUUCGUACUAGUUAUUAUUUUAUAUUAAAUUGAUGAAUUUUUCUUUUUCAUCUCAAAUAGUUGACCUGAUACAGUAACACACGUUUUUCAAGAUCUAAUUGCCUACUCUGAGCUGUGGUUGAUAAUAGUUAUAGGUGGCAAACAAUUUCAUUUAAUUAAAUUUACCCAUAUUCGUCCAUAAAUAACUGGUUAUAGGUAUCUUAAAUUUUUAUAUAUGAGUAUAAAGAGGUUAUUCAAUACCCAUUUAAUAAAUUGGUAUAAUUGGGUAAUUCACAAAACUCAAUUAACCCAUUUAAAAAGGAAUCAACAAGCAGAAGCAAAAUACAUCUCAAAUCAACUACAAUACAGUAAAACUGAACGAAAAUAAGUUUGUAAAAUUCCAGUAUCUGAAACCAUUAAAUUUCCAGUAGCUGAACCUCUUUGUGAAAUCAAAAAGAUGAAAGCUUUAAAAUAAAAAACAACCUAAAGAACAAUUAAAAUCGCCUAAAUGGGAAAAAGUUUGCAGCUUUACAGUGUGGAGGCAUGAAUUUACCUUCUUUAAUUGCCAACCAAUUGAAACCUUUGCAUGUUUCCCCAUUAGGUUUCAAACUUUAUGCUUUCCUUAAGUCUUGCUUGUUAACUUACUCCCCGACUGAUCAGAAACCCUUGAGUAACGAACAAUAGAGAGAUGCAUACAAAGGGAGGUGAAAAAAACGAGAACAUCAAUUGAGCCAAUUAAGAUAUUUUCAUAAACAUGUCCCAAACAUGUAAUGGAGAAACUUGUAUUCAAUGUAAACCAUUAAAACAAGAAGGGAUGAGAAGCGGGAGAGAUGCCUUCUUCUCUUUAAUGAUUGAGAAGUGGCAGAAGGAGAAGCUUAAAUAUUAUUCUCUGGCGAGUCUUAGCUGUCCUUUUUUGUCUAUAGUUCUUCGGGUUAACUACAUUUUAUCCCCAUUAGGUUUAGAUUCCAUUUGAUAAAACUGAAUUUAAAUUCUGAAACAAUUAAUUUGUUGAAUUUUAAAUACUGAAAAAAAUAUAUGAAUGUCUGAAUUUUAAUGUUAAAUCUAUUUAUACUAUUUGAUAAACAUUUAUAACUGAAUAUUUAAUAAUUUAAAUUUGACAAUUUUACCCUUAUAUCUUUUUCAUCCAAAAAAGAAAUAGAACCUAUGAAUUAAUUAACUUCAAAAUAUUAUGUAUAAAAAUGAUAAUAUUUAUUUUUAAAUCAAAUUAAUAUAAAAGAUGAAAUAUAUUAUAUGAAAAAUAUUGAGAAGAUGCGAAAAUCAUUAAAAAGGGAGAAAAGAGAAAUAGAAAACUGUUAGAUAGAGAAUAUCAAAUUGUUAAAUUAAAUAAGAAUUUUGAAUAUAAUUAACAAACAAUGAUAGAUUUGGUAGAUAAAAUAAGAUAGUUAAAAUAAUUCUAUUCAUUCUUAUCAGAAUUAAACAUUCAGUUAGGAUUUUUGUACUGAAAAAAAUACACACAAAUUCAACAGAUGGAUUUUCAUUUAUUAAACAUUCAAAACAUCUGAAUGUCUGAAAAAAUUCAACUUUAAUACUUUUUUAUGUUAUCAAACAAACCCUUAAUUCAUUUCUCACUUUACCCCAUACGGCUUAGUUUUCCUCAGUUUAUCCCCUUCAUCAGUCUACAUUAGCAAAUUUAAUGUUAAAACUUUCAAGUAGUCAAAAAUGCCCAUGCAUGUAACCGUUUUAAUUUGCUGACCAAAAUGUCUUUCCGUUGGUUUUAUAAGAGAAGAACCCAAAUGCUUCUGAAUGAAAGUGUACCAUUUUUCCUCAUUCAUGCUAUCAUUACCAACCUCUAGACCAUCCAUGUUCCUAUCACCAAGGCAUCCAUAAAACUUCAUCCUUCAACCGGGGAAGACAUUACAGCCAAAACAAGAAGAAAUUGCACAACAAUUGAGAAGAAUGUGACAAAGUUCUUCAAGUUUCAGGACUUGUAUUUGCUCUGGGUGUAUCUAGAGCUGUUAAACGAACCGAGCUGUUCGGUAGCUCGGUUCAUUUCGGCUCGUUCGUGUUCGUGAAAGGCUCGUUCGAAAUUUUAAACGAACCGAGUUCGAACGAAUUUUUUUGUUCGAUUAAUAAUCGAGCGAACACGAGCAUGUUCGCGAGUUUUAACGAACGUUCGCGAACAUAGACAUAAUUAUCAUUUGACAAAUUUUAGGAUUAAUUUUAUGGCUGGACUUUUAUAUUUGGAGGGCAAAUUUCUUUGUUUUAUUUGUUGUUUUUAUGUUAAUGUUAGUUAUAUAGUUAAUGAAUAAUAUAAUUUAGUCAUUUAGUACUUUAAUUAUUUUUGAGAAUGAUUAAUAAUUUGCAUGGCAUAUUUAAGGCAUAAAAUAAAUUGGAUUCGAACAUUUCGAACAUGUUUGCGAACGGCUCGUUUAUGUUAAACGAGCCGAACUCGAACUCGAAUUCGAACACGAAUUUUACUUAACGAACCGAACACGAACACAGGUUUGGAGUUCGAAAAUUAACGAACAAACACGAACGUUGUUCGAACUGCUUAACGAACAUAGCUCAAACAUGAGAUACUCGGUUCGAUUCAGUUCGUUUACAGCUCUAGGUGUAUCUCCCAACCAAUGUUUUGAAACCUAGACAGUUUAUUGAACCGAUGAAGUGUUUGAAUCGCGGUUCAAUCGAUAGGAUGGAUUCAAUGAAAUUUUUAAAAAUAAAUUAUAUAAAUAUAUGUGUACAGAAUAAGACAUGUAAUGGACUAAUUUAAAAUUUUAUAUGAUAAAAAGUUUAAUAUUGUCAAAGAGUUUGGACUGUCAUAAAUAAAUUUUUUCAAUUGUAAGUUCAAACAAAUAAAUUUCAUAUUAAUUGUAUUUAUCAAAAAAUAAUCUUAAAUCCUACACAAAACACUACAAUAUUUUGAAAUUAAACAAAAUUUAUGUCUUUGAGAAUUAGACAUUAUGAAUUUAAACUUUAAAGUGUGUCUUUGGGAAUUAAAGAUAGCAACUUUGUUAAAUUAAAAAAAAAAAGAGAAACUUGAUGCCUGGAGGAAGUUAGAAAACUAGAAAGUAGAAAUGAAAACUUAAUAAGAGGCAAAAGGUGAGAAGAAAGUGAGUUAGUGUGACAUUUAGUGAUUAGUUUUUAGGGUUAAAGAGAACCUAUUCUUUUUUUAUCAUAUAUUUUUAAUUUAAUAGACAAAAAUAAAAAGAUUGCCGAUUCAAUAGUUCAUUUUAGUUCAAACAAUUUGUGCCAAUUCUUAAGCUUAAUCAAUGCAAAAUAUCAAUCAGACCGUAAUUAUGAUCGGUUCACGGUCCAUCGAUCAAACUGAUCUUUCAAACUCGAGUUUCAGAACAAUGCUUCCAACCCUAAACACUUGUGAGAAUAUCUAUCACAUUCAAAGCAUUAUGCCCCUAAAAAAAUCAUAAUCAAUCAUUUCUUUUUUUUUUUAGAAGUAUAAAAGCAAUAACUUCCAACCAAUUGUCCUAUAGUUCGACCCCUCGUAUUUUUGAACAAAAAAUCUUGAAAUUUUUUAGUGUAUUACGGUAACCAUUCAAUCUUGACUUUGUCUAUUUAUUCCUUCUUCCAACAAUACUUCCGAUGAUUGUCGGCGGAGAUUGGACUAGGAUUUUGGGUAAAGAAGGAAAUGAGUAGGAGAGAGAUGAAGUCAUAAAAAGACAAAGGAGUCUUCUCUUCUAACUUCUUUUGUCUUCGAAUUUGAGUUUUUUUUUUUCAAGGUUGCACGCUAUGAAGGGAAAUUUUCCCCCACUUUGAAGGGAACUUUGGGAAACACAUGUUUACUGGACCUAGAGCUAUAGGCAGUUUAGUCUAUGAGAUAUUUUCUUAGGGAUAUUGAAGUCUUUUAGGGAGUGCUUGGUUAAAGGGUUUGAGAAUCAAAUAAUGGAAUGAACCCCUUAUUUGUUGCUUGGGUUAAGUCUAUUGGAAUGCAAUUUCUGGAAUCAUUUCUAAAAAAUCGGACUUUCACCAUUCCUGAGUAAAUUGGGAGGUUUUGGACAAAACCCUCAACUUAUUUCCGAGCAAAAAUAUUUAUGACGAACCUACCCUCUUUUUUUCUUCAUUACACGCCGCACCUUCUGUUCUUCUUCUUCAUCAGAUUUUCUACCUCUUCUACUUCACCGAUUGGACAACCAUAAAGAUCAGUGGCUUUCGACUCUCCUUGGACAACGAAUUCUAGAGUUGAAGAGUCUUCUACUAGGGUGAAUUCCUUGAUCCCAGGUCAGUGGAUUACAAACUCCCUUGCCUCUGCAAUUUUCUUUUCGUAUGCAAGCUUUUCUCUUUCUUCUUCUCUGUUUUUUCAUGCUACUCACUGGGUAGCUAAAAAUAAAGAAGAAAAGAAGGGAAUCUGAUACAAUAACACUAACUGGACCAAAAUGCUAUGCUCUAGACCCAUCACCUUCUUUUUUUUGGUGAGAUAAAUGUUAAUGUCACUAGAUUUGUCAUUUUUAUGUUUUAAUGUGUUUUCUUGGAUUACGCAUUCAAUGGAGGUCAAUCAAUUCUUGAUCUUUUGGUUAUUUGAUCCGUGAAUACUGGUAUAGUUUGGGUGGGUUUCUACAUGCCCUGUACCUGUUUGUAAAAUUGUCUGCCUGAAUAGCUUUCAGUUUCAUAGUUAUUCGUACAUUAGGAUUUCAAGUUUCAACCAUCAAUUUCGUUUGUUUAUGCUUAUUUAUAUCUAUACAUCAUUGUGUUUACGGAUGUAUGAUGCAUGUCUAGGCCCUUUUAAUAAGAUCAAUUGAUGUUUAAUGCAUUUGAAGAUUUUGAUGCCGUAAUCCAGUUUGGUGAAUACUUACAUUUGGUUGUCAUAUUGUUAUGUAGACAAAGAUGCCACGUUUGCCUAUUGAAAACAGAAUACGCAAAAAAUAUCGAGGGCAAAACCAGAUUUUAUUAGGAAUGAUAAUGGUUGUUAUUGCACUGUUUAUGAUGUGGUACCAGUUAAUAUUCAUUCAUCUCAAAAGUAGAAGACGCCAAAUAAAAUCAAAAGAAGAAAAAGUCACUGAGCGCAUGCAACACUUAUUCAAUUUGACUAGGGAGAGUGAUGCUUAUUGUAUUAACGAAUUUCGUAUGGAUAGACGAACAUUUGGGAUAUUAUGUGAAAUGAUUAGAGACACUGGAGGUUUGAAAGCUACAAGAAACAUGUCAAUAGAAGAAAUUGUUGCCAUGUUUGUAUAUGUUUUGGCUCACCACAAGAAAAGUAGAACAAUUUGUGGUCUAUUUUGGAGAAGAAGAGAAACGGUGAGUCGUCAAUUUAAUCUUUGCCUCCUAGCAGUUUUGAAAUUGCAUACUAUAUUACUUAAGAAGCCUGAGCCUAUUACCGAAGAUUGCACAGAUGAGAGAUGAAAAUGUUUGAAGGUAAUUCAAACAUUAAAAUACAAUCAUUUAAUAAAAUGUAUAUUUUCAUCUAAACUAUCCAAUAUAGACAUUUUAACUCAUUUAUAUUUUUUAUUUUUGUGAAAAUAGAAUUGUUUAGGUGCCUUAGAUGGGACAUUAAUAGAUGUGACACCACCCACCGAACAAAAAUCAAGAUACCGAACGAGAAAAGGAAGUAUUGCAACGAAUGUAUUAGGGAUUUGUUCUCCUAAUAUGCAAUUUAUCUAUGUCUUGCCUGGUUGGGAAGGUUCGGCACAUGAUGGUCGUGUGCUUCGAAAUGCUAUCUCUAGACCAAAUGGUCUUAGAGUCCCACAAGGUAAACAUAUAUUGCAGUAUUCAAUACCAUUCAAUCAAUUUUUUUUCGAAAAUUAGGUAGUCUAGUAUUAAUUUGUGCAUGAUUGAAUUUUGAAGGUUGUUAUUACUUGGUGGAUGCUGGAUAUUGUAAUGCUGAUGGAUUUCUUGCCCCUUAUCGAGGGCAAAGAUUUCACCUUAAUGAAUUCAAUGGUUAUCGACCACAAAGAUCAGAGGAAUAUUUCAACAUGAAACAUUCUAAAGCUAGAAAUAUCAUAGAAAGAUGUUUUGGAUUGCUAAAAGGAAGGUGGAAGAUUCUAGCAUCCCCUUCAUUUUUUCCAAUUCAAACACAAGUGCGAAUAAUUAUGGCAUGUUGUCUGCUGCACAACUUGAUAAGUUCAUGACUUUUGAUCCACAAGAAUUACUACAAAGUGAAGAAAAUGAAAGUGAAGAUGAAGACAGUGAUGAAGAAGUAGAGUACAUAUCCACUAUUUUGCCAAGUGAUCAAUGGGCAAAUUUUAGAAAUAAUUUAGCACAUGAAAUGUUUGACAAUUGAAGGGCUGGACUUAGUAUUUAGUUAUGAAUGGAUGUUUAGCUCUUAAACUCAUUAAAUUUGGAUUGACAUUUGAUGUACUCUUGUAGUGGAUUUGUGAAUUAGAUUGACACUUGAUGUAUGUUCUUUUAAAUUUGGAUUGACUUUUAAUUGUAUGUUCUUUUAUGUGUUUUGUUAUAUUAUAAAUUUCAGUUAUAUGCUAUUGUGUAUCAAAAUUAAUUGAUAUAUAUGGGUUGACUUCUAAAUGAUAGGAUGGAGAAUGAUGAAAUUGUACGUGGAAGAGGGAAAAAUAAAUGUUUUUGGACUGGUGAAGAGGUAAAAUAAUUAUAUGAGCAAAUUGCUUAAAAUUAUCUUGCGUAAGCAACCUACUUUUACCAAACAAGUCAGCCCAUAUAUUGAAUCAAAAGUUAAGUGGUUGAAAAAUAGGUUCCAUGCAAUUGUUGAAAUGUGCAAAGAAAGUGGUUGUAGUUGGAAUGAUGCUGAGAAAAAGAUUUCUUGUGAAAAACAGUGGUAUGAUGAUUGGUGCAAGGUAAGAAAUUGAUUACUUUUUACAUUCUGAUAUGUUCUUUUUCAACAUUUUAUUAAGAUUAUCAUUUAUCUUUCUAUUCUAUCUCUAGACUCAAAAGGAUGCGAAGGGCCUUUGGGAUGUCAAAUUUCCAUAUUUAGGAGAUCUUGAAAUUGUAUAUGGAAGAGACAGAACCACUGGAAAUGUUGCUGAAGAUUUUGCACAAGCUGUCCAAGAUAUGGAAGAUGUCCAAACUUUGGAGGAAGGAGAUGAAGGGCUUGAUGCUAUGUCAAACUCGGAUAAUGAUAAGGUAGAAGAAGAUGAAGUAAAUUCCAUGGAGCAAUCAACUCAACCAAGCUCAACAAGCACAAGAAAUUCCAAGAAACAAAAGAAACAAUCACCUCCCAUUGCAAAUAUGUCAAAAAAAAUGAAAUCUGCAUCAUCAACAAGGGGUGAUCUUGAUGCAUCAUUGCAACUUCUCACCAGCAAAUUUGGAGAUUUCGUGGAGGGAAUUCAAGCCAAUUUCACAACUAUGGCAGCAGCCAUGUCAAAUGAGGAUAAACGUGAGCAAUUGGUCUCCGAUAGAAGAGAUCAAGUUAUUGCUGAGUUAAUGAAACUUGCUUUACCGAGUGGAGAUGUAAUGAAUGCAGCCGACAUACUUUCGGAGCAGAUUUCCAAGCUUCAUGUGUUCUACAAUCUUCCUGCAGAAAUGAAACGACAAUAUGUAAUUAACCUUCUUUAUCCUCCAUCUACUCGCUGAAGUAAAAUUAUUGUUAGUUGGAAAGUGAUGAUUUGAUGGCAAUUUCUUUUUGUUAUGGUGAUUGUUAGAUGGUUAUAUGAUUAGUCUUUUGAAAAUUGUGGAUAUUGAGUGGCACUCUCGAUUGGAUUAGACAAUUGAUUUGUAUUUGGUAUGGUUAGCUUUUGUGAUUUGAGUCUCCUUCUUUUGUUCAUAUAUGUAAGGAGAGAUCUAUUUCAUAUCAUUAUCUAAUGUAGGAACCACAAACAACUUGUUAAUGGAGUAAAUUUCCAAAAAGAUAGAGUUUUUAAACUAACUUCCUAAAGGGUGGCAAUUUUUGAGUCUCUUCCCAAAGGGUGAAAAAUACAUUCAAGAAAUGCGUUCUUCCAAAUAAAAAUGCAACUUUCAAAUACGUUAUUUUAAUUUUUGUAAAUUUGUUUAAAUAUAAAAAAUUGGUUAAAUAGCGUAUUAAAUACAACCCCUGCCAAUUUCCCAUAAAGAGCUGGUAACUUAUGGGUAAUUUCUUUUUUUUUUUUUAAAUUUUCACAUAUUUAAUUUAUGUUAAAUACAAAACAUACUAGUUUUCCUUUGGGCGCUAUUUAAUCAAUUUUUUCCAUAAAGAGCUGAUAUGUUUCCCAUAAAGAGUUGCUACAAAACAUACUACAAAACCUGCCAGUUUCCCUUAAAGAGCUGGUAUCUUAUGGGUAAUUUCUUUUUUUUUUUUUUUUAACUUUCACAUAUUUAAUUUAUGUUAAAUACAAAACAUACUAGUUUUCCUUUGGACACUAUUUAAUCAAUUUUUUUUCCAUAAAUAGCUGGUAUGUUUCCCAUAAAGCUGGUACAAAACAUAUUACAAAACCUGCCAGUUUCCCAUAAAGAGCUGGUAUCUUAUGAGCUAUUUAACCAAUUUUUCAUAUUUAAACAAAUUUCCAAAACAUAAAAUAACGUAUUUGAAAGUUGCGUUUUUAUUUGGAAGAACACAUUCCUUGGAUGCAUUUUUCACCCUUUGGGAAGAGACUAAAAAAUCGUCACCUUUUGGGUGAUUGUUUAAAAACUCAUUUUUUUGGGAAUUUACUCCUUGUUAAUGCAGCCACUAUAUUUAUUUUCUGGUAUUAAUUUUUUUAUUAUUUAUGAUUUUCUUAUGUUUUAUCAAAAAGUUAAUAACUAUUGUAGUUACAAUUAUGAAGAUGUUAAUUUGCCGUAUGUGUAAUUCUUUUGUUUUAGAAGAAUUGUUAUAUCAGGGGUAAAUUUGGAAUUUAAUUGCAUUUAAUUCCGAAACACUCAUCAAACCAAGCAUCAGGAAUUGGAAUGAUGCUAAUUCCAAUGUGUGAACCAAGCUAGAUAUUGGAAUGAAAAGUUUUAAUUCCAAAACCAGAGUCUAUGAUUCCAUUUCCAUUUUCGAUUCCAAUCUGUGAAACAAGCAGCCCCUUAGUGUUUUCGUCCGUCGCCAUUUGUGCUGACCAUCAAUCUCGGGGUAAAGUGCUUACAAACAAAAGUCUGCGGGUAAGGUGAGACAUGGGCCUAACGUUAUGGGGGAUAAAAUGUAAUAAAUCCUAAUUCUUAUCAUCAAUACGAAAAUUUAUCAUCGAGCCAGAGAUAAAAAAUUACUCAACGCAUCCAAACAAGAAAAUGAAACUUUAGAUUCAGAGAGAAUCACACAAGCAAGACCUCUACCUCGACACUUUUUUACUCUUAAACGCCUCGUUUUGUAGAAACUGUUUUUCAAUUUGAGUCCCACUUCUUCCUUCUGCAACGAGGCGUUUAGGCAGAAUAAUUUUCGAUCGAUCGAUCAAUCAAUAAUUCCUGAGAUUUUUUGUUUGUUUUGGAUUUUUUCUUUCGUUUGUAUAAUUGAUUUUGUGGUAUGUAUUUAUAGAGAUAUAGUGAUAGAUACAUAAUAGCGUAUAGAAUUUGUGGCGAUGGAGAAUUUGAUGAGCAAGAUUCGAAGCUUGGAUGCGUAUCCGAAGAUCAAUGAGGAUUUCUACAGCAGAACGCUGUCCGGCGGCGUUAUAACCCUAGCUUCCUCCAUCGUCAUGUUCUUGCUCUUCUUCUCCGAGCUCAGUUUGUUCCUUUGAACUUUAUUUCUCUCUCUGUCUGAAGUUUUUAAAUCAUUGUAUGUAUUCAGUUUAGGACUCUUUUAUUGCUUUGGUUGGAUUAAAAUUAGAUAUAGAUUUACUCUAGAUAUGGUGUAGUUUCAUUCUGUGUUUGAAAGUUUCGGGAUUUCUUUUUUUUUUUUUUUUAAUGCUCUAUGAAUUUCUGAUUCUUAUGUUUAUUCUGUUUUUUCUAGCUAGUUUUAGUUGUCCUUUUAGCUGUAUAAUAAUUAAUGAGUCUGAUUGGAAGUAGGAAUUGCAUGGUGGUGGUGCCAAAGUUAUGCAAAAACGAGUACGAAAUGAAUAAUUUGUUGGUGGAAUUAACUCGAAGAAUCUUGAGUGCAUAGGUAGGGUGUAGCUUAUGUCUACGUCAACCUUGUAAUGAAAUUCAGUUGGCUGGAUCUGCAAUGCGCAUAUGAUAUCUUGGCUGCUACUAUGGUUGUAAAAUAAUUGCAAGACUCUACUAGAGAUUGUGAUUGAAGGGAAAUGAAAAUGGUAUAUCAUCAAGAACACACAUUGAAUAUCUUGGUGCUAUUUUAAUGCUAAAAUAACUCCGAGAUUCUACUGGAGAGUGUGAUUGAGGGGUAUAUCACCAAGAAGACAAACUGGAUGGAAUAUAGUUCUUAUAAUCAAUGAAGCAUCAAGUGAAGAUAUGAUGGGUUUUGGGCAAUUUAAUCGCUCUACUUGCUCCAUAUAGUGAUGUUUUAUUCAAUUGUUUAGUGGUUGGGUUUGUGUUCAGGAAUCAAAGUUGGAAUUAAAUGAUAAAAGUAAGUAACUGGAGUGGCUUCCCAUCAAAGUCAGAACGUUGAUGUCCUGAACCCUUUGAAGCCUUAAUGGACCUGAGAAGCCAAAAAACCUCCCAAAUCAUAGUCAAAUUCUUAGUUUGUAACCAAGACAAUAUUCAGUGCACUUCAAAAAACAACUCAAAAUCCCAAAUGAAAACUACCAAAAUGCUUCUUCAGUUUCUGAGGUUCUAAAUCUACAAUAUUGUGGUGAAGUUGUACAGGAAGAGGAAGAGAAGACAGGCAGAGGAAUAGCCAGGGACAUCAGAGUGACGGGAGUGGGGGGAAUGGUAGAUGAGCUGGGAGGUGGAGGAGAGACAGGUGGAGCCUCUUAGGGCAGGCAGAGAGAGAAAGAGAGAGUCUGGAGCAUUCUCUUUUUCCAAUGUUUGGUUUUUUUUUUUUUAGUACUCAUAGGAAUCACUGGAGAUCAAAUUUAAUAUAUUCUGAUGUUGUGGGUGCAGAAAUACGCAUGAAUUGUGCAUUUGAACUCAAUUGAUUGAUUGCAUUUGAUAUUACCUAAAGAGAAUAUUUGUAUUUUACUAUUUUCAUCUCAUUCCCAGGCUAGGACACAAAACCAAAUUGUCCUGAGAUUUAUAUUAAAGUUUUCUUAAAGAUUGUUUCUAGGAAUACCUGUGGUUUCUUAGUACAUUUUUCCCAUAGUUAACCAAACAUUCAGGCUGUCAGCACGAACUUUUUAUAAUCCGUUUAUUCAUGUCUGAGUUUGUCAUGUAUCGAUACAAAUUUAACUCUGCAUUCAAUUUUGUAGUUACCAUUUGGUAUUUCUAUUGUUCAGCUAGGCAUGAAAACUCUAGCCAAAUUGUUGAAUUUGAUAGUGAUUGCUUCCAUCGGUUCCUGAUAUAUACUCUUGUCUACAAGUUUCAUCGUUAAUGUCAUUUAAAAAGUAUAUUAGCACAAUGAAAAGCCAAAGUUGACUGGAAUGAACUAGUUCUUUCUAAAGCUAUCUUCUUGAAAUUCAUGGUGUGCUAAACUGAGGCUUUGGAUCAAACAGUUUUCUCUAAGGUUAUCUUAUGGUCUCUUAGCCAGAGUUUAAUAGGAACUAAGCUAAAAGAAUCAGAUGAACUGGAAGUUGUUUAUUUGACCAUUUAUUCAUGCUUCUCAAGGUCUAAUUGCCUACUCUGAGCUGUUGUUGAUGAUAGAUAUGCAGGUAUUGUAUAUCGUCCUCUUGUUUGAUGCAUAAAUGUACACUCCCUAACUCUGGCCCUUAAUUCUUUUUAAACAAUAAAGUGCUACAUUUUUGUUGCCUUUUCUUCUUUUCUUCUUCCUUUUUUUUUGGUGGGGGGAAGAGGGGAGGGGGAGGGUGGGGCUUUAAAGCUAUAAAGGAAAGAUAUAAUCUUGUUAGUUUUGUCAAUGUCAUUUCCAUGAUAUUUAUUGGUUCCCUUUAUUUUGGCUUGUGCAUAGGGUUAUAUCUCCAUGCAGUUACUGAGACAAAGCUUGUAGUAGAUACGUCCAGGGGAGAAAGGCUGCGGAUCAAUGUAACAGAAUUUUCUUUUCUUUUCCCAUGCAAUGCUUGAAUUGCUGCUUUGUUGCUUGAGUACUUUUUAUUCUGAAUUAUCAUAUUGCUAUGUUUCCCAUUUCUUCCCCUCCUCAACAAUAGCCCCACCACUCCCUCCCCCAGGUUGAGAUUGGCACGUCAUGCAACUAAUUGGAUCCUGAGUUUAUCUCUGACACCUGUUUAUAUAACUCUAGGAUAAAGCUUCUAGCAUUUCUAAUUGACAGAAUAUGGCUUGUUCUGCUGAUGUUUUGUGUUUAGGUUGAGCGAUGAAGAAUAUAUAUUUCCAAAAUCUUUGCUUUAUGAACUAUUUCAAUUCAUUGUAGAUUAUCAACACUUUUUUUUCGAAUGUAUUCUUGUUUGACUUGCACAUGUUCCUUAUGAAACUAAUUGAUACUUCUCUUCAUUGUAUCUGAAAGUGCAGUUUGAUGUCACAUUUCCAGCACUUCCAUGUUCCAUGCUCAGCCUUGAUGCCAUGGAUAUCAGCGGAGAGCAACAUCUUGAUGUCGUAUGUAUUACAGCAUCACUCUUUAUACUUCUUGUCAUCGUGCAUUUUUUCUGUUUUUGCAUGUAUAGGUAAUGUAAACUUUAUUCUUUGAACUUUUACCCUUUAACUUUCCAUGCCAUUAAGUCCUUUCAAUGGGUUGGGGAUUUUGGGGUGGGGGCACAGUGUUGUUCUGGUAAGUAUUUUCCGGUUCAUACAUUUGUGCAUUGUGUUUGUGUAUUACUUGUUAACCUGCUUUUUCCCCGUCUUGCAUGGAGGCCAAAAUUAUGAUAAUAUAGCUAUAUGGAGUCUUGACAAUUGAUGAAAACAUGCUGCAUUAUGCUAGCACUUUGCAUUCUCAUGAUUCAUUGCUGAUGUCUCAAUCUGAUUCUGUCAACACUUGCAGAGACAUGAUAUUACCAAGAAAAGAAUUGAUGUCCAUGGUAAUGUAAUAGAAACACGGCAAGAGGGCAUUGGACAUCCCAAGGCAAGUAAAGAGAAUUGGAUGAAGUGUGAUGAUCUGUUAUUAACCUGUAAACACUUCUUACAAAUUUAAGUCAUUAUGUUCUUGUAAUUUUUUUCUGCUUGCAAACUAAAUUUGUCUGUGAUUUCUGUUAUUUUUAUUUCUUAUUUGUGUAAGUUCUAUUCUUAGCAAAGUUUGUUUUUGGUUUUUAAAAUGCUUGGAUGCUACUUAGAUUACAACAGCAGAGAAGUUAAUUCCCCUGAAAAUCUCUUGAGCAAAAUAUAUAGUUUUCUAUUUGAACUUUAUUCCUUCAAUUACUUAGUAGCAGUGCAUUGGCUGCUCUCUGAUCUAAAAGACUGAUUCAAUUUUGAAAUCUUUUUAAUGGCACAGAUAGAAAAACCUUUGCAAAGGCAUGGAGGCAGGCUUGAACACAAUGAGACAUACUGUGGCUCGUGCUUUGGAGCAGAAACGGUGUGCUUCUCCUAAGCCGUUAAUUUGCUGCUACAAUUUAUAUGACCUUGUAAACCACAUUAUGCUUAUUUGAAAUUGUAUCUUUCGCAUUUUGUUAUUUAAAGUGUCAAUGGUAGAUUGCUAUCAACUUUUCUAUUCUCUGUUACUUCUGGUUAGAGCUAUGGCUUUCUUCCUUUUACAACUUACCAGGUCUUCCUCUACCUUUUGGAACUUCAUCCUUAUUUCCUUUCUUUCUAUUGUCCUGAACAAAUAUCUAUCUUGUAUGUUAAUUUUGCUGCUUUACAAAUACAACCCCUUUAGGUGUAUGAUGAUGCUUUAAUAUAUCUGAGAUCCUACCCUCACUUUCAUGGGUGUUCCUCAGGCGGAUGAUGAUUGCUGCAACUCCUGUGAAGAAGUUCGAGAAGCAUAUCGAAAGAAGGGUUGGGCAUUGUCAAAUCCAGAUUUAAUCGACCAGGUGAGUGGUUGGCUCUUUUUGGUCAUUGGUCUAUGUUUUGCUUGUCUGGAUAAUAACUUGCACUGAAAAAGGUACCAUGAGUUCUCUAACUUCACUAUAGCAUUUUUGUUGCUGUAUUUAGAAUUGAAAUUCCUUCCUUUUCUUUUUGGUAUAUGCAUCUGCAUGGAAUUUAUCUGUUACUUCUUCUAGAGGUAGAAGACUUUAAUCAUUAGUUUGGCUGAUCAAUUUCAAUACAUAGAUAAGCUUAAAUGGGCACUAGCUUGAAGGUAUAAGGGGUAGAUUGCUCUGAGUUGUAUGUGCUGUAACAAUUAUCUAAAUUAAGUAGAGGUUUGAGCAAUGCUUAUGUGUAUUUUUUAUCCACUAGUCUCGUUCUCUUGCAAUUCUGAAAUCAGAAAAUUGGCAUUUAGAGGCUUGUGCAUUGCAAACUUAUCCUUUAUGCUUCAAAUGGUUUUAGUUAAACUGUAUAGGAAAAAUUAAAUCCUAUGUAGUGUUCCAUCUAAUAGUUGUCAGUUUUGAGCACAAAGCUGUUGGGACUUGAAAAUUUAUAUGUUUACGAUUUCACUCUUGUACAUAUCUUCAGUGUAAAAGAGAAGGGUUUCUUCAAAGGAUCAAAGAUGAAGAAGGUGAAGGGUGCAAUAUUUAUGGGUUCUUAGAUGUGAACAAGGUGGCUGGAAACUUUCAUUUUGCACCUGGGAAGAGUUUUCAACAGGCAAAUGUUCAUGUCCAUGACCUGUUGGCUUUCCAGAAGGACAGUUUCAAUGUAAGAUGAUGUUUUGAUUCGAUACAUCUGUGAAGCACUGCUAAUUUGCUUCGAAUCUAUAUUUUUUCCAGUUCCUGUGUUGAAUUUUCUUUGAACUAACUUUGUAGGUUAAAUGUACUGCAGAUAAGUCACAAGAUCAAUAGAUUGGCUUUUGGAGACUAUUUCCCUGGUGUUGUAAAUCCUCUUGAUGGGUAUCUUUCUCUUCUCUUUUCCUUCCCCGAUGCGACGAUUUGGUCUUGUUCCAUCCUUCAAGAUGACAUUUCUUUUCUUAUGACUUUCAGUGUGGAAUGGACGCAACAAACUCCUAAUGGGAUGUAUCAAUAUUUUAUCAAGGUGAGUCUAUUGUUCAAUUUGCAUGGACUCCUUUGGAGUUUCCCAUAUUUUUUUUCAACUAGUUUCCUUAUUUUAUCUGCUCAGAUUGAUAGGUUUCUGCGUGGAGGAUAGUUGUCUGUUGGUGAAAUAUUAUUUAGAGUGUUUGUUUAAUCUUUAAUUUCUCUGUGCCUUUAAUUUGAUCUGGGAAUAGAUGAAAUGCAUCUGUAGAAUUUUGUUUAGUUUGGCAAUAAGCGGUAGACAACCCUACUGUAGGACUUCGGAGGUGUGUAAUUGAUAUCUGGCUAAGUAAAUGAGUGUCUUUUGUUGUUUAGGUUGUUCAAGACAUGUUGGGUAAUGUUUCCUCAGUUGCUGGAAGUUUUUUACUCAAUUUUUAUAUGCUUAUGCUAUUUUUGUUUUGUACUAGCCAUGGAAGAAAAUGAUGAUUAAUACAAGCUGUAGAAAGGCAAGUCCAUGGAUUUAGAAGUGUGAAAAAGCAGACGAGAACCAGAUUAGCGCCAUUGGUUUUACCCCCAUAAAAGUAAUCAUAUUAAUGAAAGUUACUUGGUCUCAGAAGUUUCAAAAUGGCAUAUCUGAAUGUUAUUAUCAUCCGAAUCAAAAUUAGUUGUGUGAAACUCGCACUGUUUGGAAACAUAAAGGAAUACUGACACUAAAUACCAAACUUGUUAUAUUUAUCUUGAGGCACAAAUUAAGUUUUUCGACAUGUACUGCAAAAUCUUCCUCUCAAUUUGAUGAAUGUCAAUAUCUCAGACUGGAAGGCCCAAGCUCUAUGUCCACUUUUUAGUCGAACCAUUUACAUCUUGACUCUUAGAUAUAGUUGAGAUAGUCAAAUUGUUGGACCAUAAAGUAAGUUCCUUUUCUGGGCAUGGUUUAAUGUACAAGGUAUGAUCAGUAAUUUCUCAGGCAGUAACACCACUUUGGUCCCUAUUUUUUGGGACUUAGGUGAAACUUAAAAGAGUUGUAACAAGUAGGCAUAAGCCAUUGGCACUAGAAAUGUACUUAUCACCUACUUUUGGAAAAAAGAAGGAUGAGGAAAAUCUUUGAUGGUGGUAGACGAAAUGGAGGUAGACGAAGGGUAGCAAUUCUGAUUGGAGAACCUUAGCUUUAAAGCAGUAAACAAAGGAGGUAUAUCAGAGAUUUCUUUGUGCCUCAAGUUUUUUUUUUAACUUCUCAUUUAUGAGCACCAAUGAUAUGAACUUUCUUUUCUAGGUGCAUUAUAGAGGUUUUAUAUCAAUAGUCCACCAUGUUUACAUAGAUGCUGAAUAUGUGCCUUAAAAAUAUUUUAUCUGCAUGUAUACGUGCUUGCUAAUUGUUGAAGACACAAUAUCGAAAUGAGAACAAGUAAUUCUGUAUUGAUGUAGUUUUUUGACUUUUUGAAUCUAUUUGAUUGUAAAAAGUUGAUUGCCAACCUUGUUCUUCUUCCAGUUGAUUAGUAAUACCAGGUAGCCUCCGUGUCAAGUCUGUACCCAGUCCAAAGUUAAAUUUAGAUUAUCUAAAUAAGUGACGAGAGAUGGAGGGUGGGAUUAAGCAUCUCAUAAUUCGCAUGUGGGUAUCAUUGACUAUUAUAUUCUUCUCUGCAAUGCAGGUGGUGCCUACGGUGUAUACUGAUGUAAAUGGACACAAUAUCCAAUCAAAUCAGGUGUGAAUAGCUGCAAAGAUUUUCAGUUUUAUGCUGACUUUAUUUAAUUCAUCAUGGAAUGAGAUGUAACAUCAUCUGCCUAUUGCAGUUCUCUGUAACUGAACAUUUUAAGGGAGCAGAAAUAGGCCGUCUUCAGUCUAUUCCUGGAGUUUUCUUCUUCUAUGACCUAUCACCAAUCAAGGUCCGUUAUGAUGUUGAAAAUUGAAAAAAAAAAUGAUGUAUUAUUUCUAUAUAGAUAUUGAAUCAAGGGCAUCCAAUCCAAACUCUUCUAAACAAUUAGAAAGUCAAAAAUCUAUCCAGACAAUUUGACUGUGCCCAAGGCAGUUUGCCAUGGGCUAUCUGGAGAAGUAAUUCGUGCAUGUGUACUCGUACUUUAUUUCCUGCAAUUUUUAACUGGUGUAGGUAACUUUCACGGAGCAGCACGUAUCAUUUUUACACUUCCUCACAAAUGUCUGUGCUAUAGUUGGAGGUAAUUUCCCUUCCCUUGUCAAAAAUCAUAAUGUUGCAGUAUUCACUUUUUCUGAUUUACUCUUUCUUUUUUAUUUUACUUUUUGUCCACAAAGGCUGAUAGGAUCUAAAUCCUUCCUUUCUUUUCACUGGGGACUUGAACCUAAAUUCUUCUGCAUGUCGUUUUUGGUUGCCAUUCUAAAUUUAGCUCAUCUUUUUAUGGUUAACGGCCCAAACUCUGGUUAUCCUCUCAGGCGUUUUCACGGUUUCGGGGAUUAUUGAUUCUUUCGUAUAUCACGGGCAGAAAGCAAUAAAGAAGAAGAUGGAAAUUGGUAAAUUCAGCUAGCGAAUGAUAAUGUAUACAGUGCUGUUUGUUGGUACUGUCUUUCCUUCUAUCAAUGAAGAUGUCCUCUUCAAGAGAGCCAAGCCAAAAUCGUGCACAAACUGUGGAAACGGCGUGGUUGGCAGACUCUCUGUCACAUCUGUGGUUCUUCUUUUGUCUGUUUUACAAUGGAUUAGAUUAGUUCAACUAGAUUUUUUGUAAUGGCCAACUCUUAUCCUAGUUUUCCAGCAAUUGUGUAUUUAUCAUGAUUGGUGCAGUUGUUCCAAAGGUAGUGAGGCUAUUUGUCAUCUCAGCAGGGAACUUUUGGUGCACCUCGGAGAAAUUAUAUUGAGCAACGGUCGGGACGGGUUAAUAACUUGAAAGUUGAAUGCAUUUACUUGUAGUGCUGAAGCAGUUGUUCAGCACAUCCUCUUGCUUAUACUUGGCUCUUAGUACGCAUGAACUGCACGUUUGAUUCUUAGCAUUUGACCAUUAUUGGGGCAUUGAAUCUGAGACCUCUAGGAAUCAUAUGCGUACUUUUUCUCUGGUGGAAACUGGAGAACAUAUUCCAGUUAAACCUUGGGGGCGUCGGGUCAUCAAACAAAUGGCAAUCUUCCAAAACUCAAAUUCAUUAUUAUGAACUUAGCCAUGUAAUUUCUCUGCCAUAAUUGAACCACAAAAAAAAGACCUAAUUUUUCGCUGAGCUUUCUUUUAACAACCACCACUUUGGUCGUGACUGUUCUAGCCUCCCAGGUUUUACCAUUUAAAUGAUACUUUUACGAUGCUCAAUUGGGGUUAAUCUUUAUGCUUGAUAUAAUUAGCAAAUGGAUACCGCUUGCAUUUCAGAACUUAGGACGUCUAGGAUGGUUCGAUCGUGUAUAUAAUGUAACCAAGAAAGUGCAAGUUGUUUUCUCCUACCACCAUUUCAGGGUUCUCCCCGUGUCUCUUAUUAUGCCCAUUUCAAUGAUGCUUGUAAUUAGUCAAAAGGGUUACGCUACGUGCUCGUAGACAAUGAUGGAUCUGUUCUGAGCCAAAUGUAAGCAAAUGAAGGUUGUGCUGGGCUUAAUAGCUUUGCCCGCUAUAAAGUAGGUGCCUUAAUCAACAUUGAUUUGAAUUCAAGAUAUGCAAAUCUAUUCCAAGACCGCUAUUGGAACAAAAGUAUAUGCUAUAUUCUUCGCAAUCGUUGUAGCUGAGAUUGCAUUAAUAUCCCGUUCACAUAGAUUUUGACUUCUUUUAGAUGCACGAAUUCCGCAACCGCGCCAAAUCCCAUCCUUUGCCGUAAAACUAAGAGAAAGAAUAACUUUAAGGGGUAGAGAGAAAACGAAGGCUGACAAGCAUUUUAUUAGAAUAUUUGAGUAUUAUACUUUGGAAGUCAUAUCUUCACCUAUUUUUCUACUGCCCCGCAAACAAUUACAUUAUUGUUUGCUGUUUAGUAAGUCUUAACAAUUAGUACACCAAACGGGCACUAAUUUUUUUUUUUUUUUUUUUAGUGCACUCAAUUUAUAUUAAAAUACACAAGACUCAUGUAUGGUUUCCCUUGCAUAGUUGUAUGUAGACACUUUUCUAAAUUAAUUUUAUUUUUUAAAAAGAAAAAAUUAACAUCUCAACUCCCUCUGAGCUCAUUAAGCCCCCGUCCCAAAAACCUUUUAUUAGCAUCUCUCAAACAGAGGGAGUGGUGAAUCUUUCACUUCAUGUGCUAUAGAGAAACCCUUUUUGCUAACUUACCUAACUCUUGUCUAAGUUGAAAUAGAGUACUAAUGAAUGCGAAAGUGUUGAAGCAAAUGAACUUUUGAGUACAACAUUUUACAGAUGCUUCUAUACAACAUUUCAACUGAGCUGGCUGGUGGCCAACUGAGCUCAGUUGAUUGCAAUGGAAUGGCAGUGGAGGCAAAAGUGUUGAAGCAAUAACUUUGUGCCGUUAAAGACUUGCACGACUUUUCGAGAGGACCUCAGUUACCAACAAAACUCGUGUCACCAGUCACGUUUUGCUGCCGAAGUAAAAGACAGAGAAAAUCAGAACCUUGCUUUAAACAUACUUGACCACAACUAAAUUCUAGUGGCGCAGAGCAAUGCCUUGUUGUUUCUUUCUUCCAUUGGUCUUUGGUCACGGGUUAAAGUUCCUGAAGCGUUAGGAUGUGCUGAAAGCCAGAAAAGAGAAUACGAAUGAAAAGUGGUUUUGGGAAUACUUAACAGGUUCGCCUAAAUAUUCCUUUUUCUCUGCUCUUAUGAUUGAAUGAAUAUAUAUAUAUAUAUCUCUCUCUCUCUCUCUCUGCGCGCAUGCUUGCUAUAAGUGGUCAGUCGACACUGGCUAGUUUUUCCAACCAUUUGAUUCUGAAUUUGACCGUAUCGUCUGCUUCCAAGAUAAUGGCCACACAAUCCAAGGCCUCAGAUUUCGUUUCUAGAACAGACGAGCACUAGAAAGUACGAAACCCUUUACUUGAAUGGAGUAAUGCUAAAAGCUCUUGCAUUGACAGUCUAAUAUGGUUCAAGAAAUUCUUGAAUUCAUGCUAUUGAAAAAUUUGGAUGAGUACUAUUAUAACAAGUAAAAUGAGUACCAUUUUACAGUUUAAGAUGGACCGAGAACAAUGAGCACUGCUCUGCACUUACCAUGGACUCAUAAUUCAAUCAUCUAGUUUUUUUUUUUUUUUUGGGUGUAAAAGAAAGCUUGAAAUUGAUGUUAAACAGAAAAUGCUCAACAGAUCUUUGAACUGUUAAUAAAUUGAUGGUUGGAGCUGGUUACCAAGGACUUUGGAGCGUAGGUAAAAGUAGUAUUUUAACCAUAGUGGUAGCUUUCGGUGUUCAAUCAUCUAAUAGCUUUUUCACCUUUUUAUCUGCUGAGCAUAUCCCAAUACCAGCUCUAGCAGAUGAAUUAGCGAGACAAAGUCAAUGAAAGAACAGAAGCAAAGCGAAGGGAAAUGAUAACACCAUAAAAGCUCAGGGAUCAACUGAAUGACCUGGAAUUUUCUGUCUUCGUGCAAAUCAAACUGUACAGUUGAUCAUGUCUAAGUUCCUAAUAGGAGGAACCUUUUACUGUUUUACAUGGAUCUCAAGUUACCUAGAGCCAAUUUUUCCAGGGACACUGGAGUUUUCUGCGUACCAUUGAGUGAUUAAUGGUGAAAAUUGGACGUUUAAUCUUAUGAUAUUGAUAUUAUCAAAUAAGCAACUCCUUGCAAAAUAAUCAAUCCACUCCUUAGUAAGGGUAUUGAUAAGUGAUAGAUACAUUUAACCAUGCGAUCCUUUUAUUCUUUCUCUUUUCGUCAAAAAGUGUACGUUAAAGUUCCUCAGAAGCAAGUGAAAAAUGACUAGAUAGUGAGCGUUAAAUUUGAAAGGACAAGAAAGAAAUUCAUUGGAGUGCGCAUUGAGUUGUUGCAGCACAGUCGGCAGUCAUCAAAUUCCCUUCUUUUCCGGAUAACCAUUGCAGUCAAGUCAUGUACUGCAACGGAAUUCUAAAACUCAUCACCCUUAUCUGAUAGGACUGUAGCUCAAAAAAAAAUUUGCCCUUUUCCCAAAAAAAAAUUUAUGUUUUGUCUCUAUUACCUUUUUUAUUCAAAUGGCUCUUGAAAUAAUUUACAUCCUUAUCUCGUAAUUUAUCCUAUUUAAGUCCAAUCGUUAGUAAAUAAUGGAUCGGAGAACUAAACAAAUCAAUGACAAAAAUGCUAACAAUGAUAAAAAAAAAGACAACAAGAAUCGUAGCUGUAACAAAAUAAGACAUUUUUAAUGAUUUGCAUGGUUGUUGAUUCUACUAAUAAUAUGUUAAACAUGUUGUAAAAUUAAACUCAAGUGAGACAAGUAUGAAUGAGGGGUUGAGAUAUAUAUAUAUAUAUAUAUAUGAAAUGGAAUGAGAAUAAGGAACAAGUUUAGGGGCGAAAAGAUAAAAAGUAAUCCUAUCUUGCUUGCUGAGCAUUCAUUGAUGGGAUUCCCCCAUAUCCUUUCUUUUCCUCGAAUUCAUUCCCUCCUGAAAGCAUAUCCAAUUCCAAAGUCAAGAUUGGAAAUCAUCAUGCUGACUUAGAUGGUGACGAAACAAUGAGCACUUUCGCUGUUGUUUCCUUGUUUUCACCCUCAAUAAUUGUACUUUAAUUUGUGCGGCCGAUUCCCAACUUCUAAUCCACAAACCAAUUUAAAGAAGACUUUUUGUUUGAAGUCUUUCUCCAAAAAAAAAUAAAAAAUUGAAGGCUUAGAAUGGAUCCUUCUGCAUUUAUUAUGGUAAUCAAUCAAUUUGAGGGAGACCAUUAGUCCACAAUAUGUGUUAGUACAUGGUUUUGGUUGAAUUGCAAUUUUCUAAAUUAUGUUUGUGCUACAAUAUUUUUUAUGACAUGAUAUAUUGAAAGAAAAUAUUACUACUUAGAAAAUAUUUUUUGAAAAAAAAAAAAGAAUUUCAAGAAAUGCUAACCAAAUGAAAUCAAUAAUAGUUUUCUUUUUUUGUUUCAUCCUUAGAAAGGAUCAAGAUUAAGAAAAAUUCCAAUCAAUUUAAUAAGACUACUCCUAUAAAUGCACACUUCAGUUAAGUGCAACCCGAGUGGUUGAACUCUCAAUUCCAGCCUAUUUUCUGAUUGCAGUUUACCACCCAACUAACCAAUCAAACAUAUAUAGUAGUAUAUUAAUUUGCCAUCUGUUUGUCUAAAAUGAACCCUUUGCACGACAGCAAUCAAUUAAUUGCAAAUUGCAAUGUAUGACACCCAAAUUGCAUCCUCAUUCAAUAAUUGAGAGUUGAAUCUGCUGCAAAUUGCAAAACUAGACAUAGAAGAAGCAUAUGACAUAAUUGGAGAGAGAGCAGCGACGCUCCGCUCCGCUCCCCCAUUCAUUCAUUCAUUCAUUCAUUCGUUCAUUUGGGCAAAUUACAACACGGAACUAAGUCAAAGUGAGGGAGACAAGUGAUAGUGAUAUUGAUAUUGCUAUUGCCAUUGAUAUUGCUUGCCGAUUUGUUAAUUGUCUUCGCCCCAAUUCCGGCCAGAAUUUGUUGUUGCUUUUAGCAUGAAUCGUGACUUGGCAAAUUGCCAUCAACCGACACAAUUAUGCAACACAUUUGUAAUUGAAUUGCUGGAAAUAAUAAUCAUGUUAUUGUUGCAUAUAGUCCUUAUUUCCCAAAUUAAAAUGACCCAAAAAAAAAAAAGGGGUUUAGCUUAUUUUGAAUUUCCCCAAUCUUGAUUUCAAGCAAAGCAUGAUUGUUAUUUCUCUAAAAAUGAAUAACAAAGAUGCGUUCGGAUAGCAGAUUAUUUGAAAAUUUUUGUGAAAUAAUUAGAAUAGCAAUUAAAUUGUAUGUAAUGCGAUGUAUAUAAAAUAAAAAGAUAGUUGCUGAGACCAAGAAAAAUAAUGGUAAUUUUAUUGAUUUAAUUACUAGUUGUAGAUGCAACAAACUAGAAAGGAUCACAAUCUAAAGUGAAACAAGAAAACUUUUUUGAAACUCCAAAUCUUUCAUCUUGAACCUCAAGUAAUCUUUGUGGCCCAAGGAAGACGUUGAUCAUCAGUAAAGUCGGGAUUGAAACUACUACUGAUUUUGCAUUCCAUUAUUUUUGUUGGUUGGUGUUCCUCUGGGGCACGAGUUUUCUUGCUUUCAUAUUGUAAAACGGAGGUUCGUGCGCACCUUUAAUCAAAAAUCAAAUUCCCACGGGAUCCCCUCUUCCGCCGACCCAAGAUGUCCAAUGCAAGUGAAAGGAACUGCUUACUCAAUAAUGUCACGUUUGAAUUACUACUACUCUUAGGAGUUCUAGUAGAACAAUACGUGAGAUAAAAAGAUGAGGGACGAAAAUCUUUGGUGAAAAAUCAGAGUCCAAACAAGACUACAGGCCAAUUCAAAUUCCGCCAUUGUGUGACUUGUGAGACUUCUCUAGCGAGUGAAUAAUAAUACUAGAAAAAUUCUAGUCCCUCCUUGCAAUUGAGCUUCUUCUUUUACCAAUGGUAUUAUUGUUUUGUUGAUCUUUAAAGAGCAAUGUAUCAAUAAAUAAAAUGCCUUGCUCUCUGAGUAGAGUAGUAGAUAUGUAGAUUUGGAAGGAGCCCAUAAUACAUUACUAUAUCCUCAAAUAAUCGCAAUUUUUCAGAUAAAAUGCACAAAAUUUCAAAAGAAAAUGAUGACUGAUAUUACCAAAAACAAGAUAGUGAGUGGUUCAUUAUUACACUGCUAAUAAUAACAAAAUAAUAUAUGGACACCUUAAAAUCAACAUUACAUCAUCAUCAUAAGAUAGAUAAAAUAGUACACUACUCCUACUAACAACCAUCCAAAACUUGGUCCAGCCAACACUAAAACCAGCUUGACCAAGAUGGUAAUUGGGCCAACCACCAGCCCAUUUACUGCUCUAAUAAUAAUAAAAGGAGUAUUACCCCCCAUACCCCUCUACACUGACCCCACCCUCCCCCCAAAAAAAACAAAACAGACAACGACCGAGGCCUAAUCCUGCAACUACCAAAAACUCCAUUGCAGAGCCUCCCCCCCCCCCCCAAGUUACUAAAACAAACAAAAACCACCACCAUAAUCUACAACUUCACAAACUAAGCAAGCUACCACCAUACCGCUACCAAUUUUUUUUCUUUUUUUUUUUUUUGACUAAACAAAACAUCAAUUUGAACUUAAAGAGCUGCCCAAUCAAUCUCAUAAGAUGGAUACUUCUCCAACAUCAGAUUCUCCGAACAGGCUUCCCAGGUGCCUUCCUCUUCCGUGAAAUCCGGAACUGUCAGAUCCGACACCGGAGAUGAGCCGUCGGUUACAUGGCCCGACCCGGUUUCGCUCUCAGAUCCGGCGUCAACUGUCUUGGCGGCGGCCUUCUCCUCUUCCGCCGCUUUCCGCCUUGUCCCUUUCGAUUUCUUGCAGUCAAUGCUCUUCCCUUCAGCCAGGCUCUGGCAGAUUGCCUGAAGCUUGGCAUCCACGGAGGAAUGCAGAGGCUUGUACUCGCCGAAGUCGCCGCCGAUGAGGGACCCGUUAUGGCGGAGGUGAGGGAAGUUCAGCCGCGCGAAGUCGCCUCUCAGCUUGAACGCCGCCUUGUCGUAGGCCAGGGCCGCCUCCUCGGCAGUGUCAAAGGUACCAAGCCAGAGUCGGGUCCGGUUCUUGGGUAGACGGAUCUCAGCGACCCACUUGCCCCAGUGGCGCUGCCUGACUCCUCGGUAGAGUUUCGUGGGCUUUGGAGGAGAGGCGGAAUGCUUCAUUGGAACGGGCUUUGGGGCCAAGAAGGGAAGCGCCUGCUGCUGCGAUUGGCUCUGACGAGUAGCGGGCCAGUGUUGGUGGAAAGGCCCGGAGAUCAUAUGAUGUUGAUUUUGGUUCUGGAGGCUGAAUCGGGAUUGGAUAUCAUGGAUCUGGGAGGGAGUUAGUUGAUUGAGCCCAAGUGAGCCCUGUUGGUCUACUAGCCCAUAUGUCGACUGGGAUGAGUAACAACUUUCAGGGUACAUAUUGAACUGUGCCUGGUAGUGGGCUGGAAAGGAGGAGGAGGAGGGAGAGUUGUAGGGAGCAGAAGAGGAGGUAGAAGGGCUAGAAGAAGAGAAAGAGAAGAAUUGGUCAUCCAUAGAAGGAAAAGAAGAAGGGGAGGCAGUAGAGAAAGAUUGAGGGUUGUAGUAAGAAGAAGAAUAAGAAGGGGAGGAAGCACCAGAUUUCAUAAAAGGCUCAAGUGCUUCCAUCAACUCACCACCCUUGAAAGGGUCCAGUUGUAGAUCUAAAGGUGUACUAUUCCAGAAAUCCAUUGCAGCUGCCAUCUCAAAAUAAUUAAUACUCGUUACUACUACCAACUGAACAACUGAAAGAAGAACAAAAAAGGAGACCAAGAAACUGAAAAGACCGACCUGAUUCUUAUCAAAAUUAAAGAACAGGUGAUUUUCUCUACAAA